rnacentral:lncRNA from 1 species
AUGAAUCUAACAAUUACGAGUAAUGUCUUUGUGACAAGAACUUUCUUUGUCUUUUAUUCCCAUGUUUGAACUAGUAUAGGUCGGGGUUACACAUUAUGGUGCACAUCACUUUAUUUAUCAUCGUUACAUUGAACGCUCAUUGACUAAACAACGAUGAUCCAUCCAUCUUGUAUUGUAGGUCUUCAUUUCAUUGGCCACCGAUGCUUGUAAGACUAGUCUCAUAUGGUUGUUGUUGUGGAUAUGGUUGUUGAGGUUGGUGUGGUUGCUGGGGUUGCUGGGAAAUUGUUUGUUCUGGUUGCUGGGAUAAUUGUUGUUGGGGCUGUAGAAAUGGUUGUUGUGGUUGUUGGGGUAAUGGUUGUUGUGGUUGCAGGAUGGAUGGUUGUUGGGGUUGCUGGGGUUGGGGCUGGGGAAAUGAUUGUUGUGAUUGUUGGGGUUGCUGGGGAAAUGGUUGUUGCGGUCCUAGGAGGAAUGAUUAUUGUGGUUGUUGGGGGAAUGGUUGUUGNNNNNNNNNNNNNNNNNNNNNNNNNNNNNNNNNNNNNNNNNNNNNNNNNNNNNNNNNNNNNNNNNNNNNNNNNNNNNNNNNNNNNNNNNNNNNNNNNNNNNNNNNNNNNNNNNNNNNNNNNNNNNNNNNNNNNNNNNNNNNNNNNNNNNNNNNNNNNNNNNNNNNNNNNNNNNNNNNNNNNNNNNNNNNNNNNNNNNNNNNNNNNNNNNNNNNNNNNNNNNNNNNNNNNNNNNNNNNNNNNNNNNNNNNNNNNNNNNNNNNNNNNNNNNNNNNNNNNNNNNNNNNNNNNNNNNNNNNNNNNNNNNNNNNNNNNNNNNNNNNNNNNNNNNNNNNNNNNNNNNNNNNNNNNNNNNNNNNNNNNNNNNNNNNNNNNNNNNNNNNNNNNNNNNNNNNNNNNNNNNNNNNNNNNNNNNNNNNNNNNNNNNNNNNNNNNNNNNNNNNNNNNNNNNNNNUGCAGGGGGAAUGGUUGUUGGGGAAUUAUUUGUUCUGGUUGCUGGGGGAAUGGUAGUUGGGGCCGGGGAAAUGGUUGUUGGGGUUGCUGGGGGAAUGGCUGUUGUGGUUGCAGAGGGAAUGAUUGUUGGGUCUGGGGAAAUGGUUGUUGUGAUUGCUGGGAAAAUUGUUGUUGGGGUGUGGGAAAUGGUUGUUGCGAUGGAUAUGGUUGCUGUGAUGGAUAUGGUUGUUGUGGAUAUGGCUGUUGUAGAAAUGGUUGUUGUUGAUAGGAAAAUGAUUGUUGAGGUGAUUGUAAUUCUUUGUUGCUAGGGUUUAGCUGCCUAGCGGCAGUGGCGAUGUUCAUCGCCAUGGCAAGGAGGACAAAGAUGAGGAAGGUCUUCAUGUUGGAUUUGUGGUUACUACUGCUUGCUUGCUUUUGAUGCUUGUGGUCUAGGUGUGUGAAGUUUGGAUGAUGAAAUGUGGUCUUGGUGGUGCAUGUGUAUUUAUAGUUUUCAUGGCAUGGCUUGCUUUCUUCUUCCCACUCGCUUUUUGAAAAAGUGCACCAAUGCUUAUCCAACUAAUCAUUUGAUUUGUUGUGUUUGGUGCAACUACUUACUAGCAAGAUUUUGGAUUUUCAUGAUAGUUGCUUUUUGUUGAAAUCAUCUGGUUGUAAGGAAUGUUGGAUAAUGACCAAUGACUCAUCUUCUUCACUUUACACUGCAAACAUUGAUCUAAAUUAUAUCCUUUUUUGAAAUUUAGUUUGUGAAGCUCUACAUGUUGUUAGGCUUAUCUAUAUUGGCAUAGCUUGAGUGGAAUUAAGUUUGUAAGCUUGUGAGCGUCAUUAUGAUGGAUCACACUAUUAAUGUGAUGAUUGUACUACAAAUUAUCUUUCCAAAACUAAUUUUAUGUUUUUUCCCAAUAUGAUUCUAAGACGGAUAACCAGACAUGACUCAUCAAAUAACAAGAUAAACCGAGUAGCAAAUUGGGGUUAUAAGUUAUAACAUGGACUUUUCUCUAAGAUACACUAUCUUGUCUUGCAUGCUCUGUGAAUUUGAAAAGCAUCUACUAAUUUAUAUGCAAUUGAAACAAAAGUAGACCAGAAAGAUAAGCAAUGAAAUGAGAAUACUAUUAUGUGAAGCUCUACAUGUUUGGCAAGCAAUAAGAUACUGGAUACAUCUAUAUCUUCAAUCCUGACAAUUUUUCUCAUCCCUAUCAACUCUUUAUUGGCUGCCUUUACUGUAGUCAUCCCUUAAAUAAAAAUCACUUAAAGAUAAGUUUGGGAGCUAGUACCAGCAUCUAUCAUGUACAAGAUAAAAAACUAAGGCACAUAUAGUAGUCUAUUGACUAUAUUUAAUUUCAUGUGAUGUGAAAGCAUGUGGAGUAUAAGUUGGUUAAAUAUAAAAUUGUCCUUCAUACCAGUAGGGAAAGAAUAUGCAGUAUAAAGAUUAGAGCAUUAUUAAUAUGCUAUUAAAUGCUACAGGAUAAUCGAUAGUUCAAGUUAAGAACAACAAUAGCAUUCCAACUUUUGUUUUGUGCAAGUUAAGAACAUGCUAACAAAGUAACCUAAGCAAAUAAGUGCAACACCUUCACCUAUAAGGAAAUUUUGAAACUACACAAAAUGACCUAUUGUAAAGAAGGAAAAAAAUCUAAAGGUGAAUGAAAAGCAUGUUAAGUACAUUCAGGAUUCGGUUAUGCCUUCAUGGAUAACCUUUUAGAUGGUGACUUGUCAACCUUGAUGUGUGUCGGCAUGGAACGAGGACAAGAAGACAUCGUUACGUCGUACUUUGGGAAUUUCAUCAAACUGGUUGUGUGCGGGAACAAAUAUUUGUCGCCUCCCUGCUCAAAUCUCUCUUCAUGUCACUAAAUCCGACACUCCACCUACCAAAAUCAGCUGCAAGCCAGGGACAAUCAACAGGUUUCUCCGCCCGUAGCAUCUAUCACCAAAAGAAGUUCAGACUAUAGUCUUGUAGUUUAAAAUUUUGUAAUAACAAGCACUACUAGGUUGCUCUUGUUUGUACGUCUUCAUUAUGUACAACCCAUGGAACUUAAAAUGCAUGGGUCAUUCUUCGGUAUAUACAACCAAUGCAACCAAACAUGCAUUGGGCUUUUCUUUGUACAUCUUCAGGUUCUACAACCAAUGCAACAAAAAAUCCAUUGGGCAGUCUUCCAUUCUAGUCGGGCACCAAUAGUUAAACGAGGAGCUAAACAGUGUUGGAGUCUAAAACUACAUACAAUCAUGAAGCAGAGAGAUGCGACUUGGAAGUUGUGCUCCUGUGAGCUCGUAUUUUUGAAGAAAAAAGUAAUAUUUGUAUUUUGAAGUGGGAAAAAGUCCUAAAAAGGGAUGUUUUGCGGGUUAUAACUUACUAUUUUUGAGUCCUGGGCUGCAGGAAGGUCGUAAAAAAUCAAUGUGUUUUCCCAUUCAUGCAUGUUUCUUGGGUUAUAGGUCACGCUUUUGGUGUCCUAGGGAGAUCACUUCCCCAGUUGGGAACAUUAGGUGAUGAUUUUUAGCAAAACUCAUUGUUUUAGCCUAACUAGUUUCGAGGAUUGGUGGACAAGAUUAUCAUGGAACAAAGUGACAACCUUCCUUUUCUUCAUGCCUAAUAUAAACUUAGCAGUCAACUAAAAGUAACUAGCGAUAUCACAGAAUGUUUUUUUGUCAAAAGUAGAUACCACUUCAGGAUUCAACUCGGUUAGUUCAAUCAUAGACAUGUUAAGAGCAGGAUUUACAACUAACUGCAUAGGGAACAUCUCCUUUUAUCGCCCACUAUCUGUCUAUGCACUUUGGUUUUCCCGUAGCAGCACACAAAGCACUUUGUUAGUACCAAUAAUGUGCUCCAACUCUACACAUUAAUCAUCUUGAAUUCUUCUACUGAUGUCGAACAAUGUUAUAUCUUGAAUUCUUCUAACGAGUUCAGAUUAUACUACAUGGGCAAUUUAUCUGGUCCCUGAGAUGCAAGGUCGAUGAACAAUCGCUUCGUCUGAUGAUGAGGGAUUGUUUUUGCCUAAGAAACCAAUACAUGUAACUUCGACGCCAGAUUAAUAAUUGGUAAAACCCAAAUAAAUUAGAUCACGAGCUAAACCAUUUAAUUUUGUAUGCAUUUAAACUUUUGAUACAUAUGAGCUUGUUAAGAUGUUCGCAUAAACACCAUGGUGAUUUGAAGCAAGACAAAGUAAACUUGAACCGCUUGAGCCACUGACUUAAUAAGAACCUCCUUUCCCGUGGCAGAGAUCGUUUUUAAUACAUCCACUCACUUUGGUUCUCUUAUGAAAUCUAGAUUCCUUCGCUAAGGCUAUUGCUCCAGUAUUGUCACAAAAGAUUUUUGUUGGACCCGAUGCACUAGGUAUGACACCUAGAUCGGAUAUGAACUCCUUCAUCCCGACUCCUUCAUUUGCUACUUCCGAAGCAGCUAUGUACUCCUCUUCACAUGUAGAUCCCUCCACGACGCUUUGCUUGAAACUGCACCAACUGACAGCUCCACCAUUCAAUAUAAAUACGUAUCCGGUUUGUGACUUAGAGUCAUCCAGAUCAGUGUCAAAGCUUGCAUCAACGUAACCAUUUACAACGAGCUCUUUGUCACCUCCAUAAAUGAGAAACAUAUCCUUAGUCCUUUUCAGGUAUUUCAAGAUGUUCUUGACCGCUAUCCUAUGAUCCACUCCUGGAUUACUUUGGUACCUCCCUGCUAAACUGAUAGCAAGGCACACAUCUGGUCUGGUACAUAGCAUUGCAUACAUGAUAGAACCUAUUGCUGAAGCAUAGGGAAUGACUUUCAUUUUCUCUCUAUCUUCUGCAUUGGUCGGGCAUUGAGUCUAACUCAACUUCACACCUUGUAACACAGGCAAGAACCCUUUCUUUCCUUGAUCCAUUUUGAACUUCUUCAAAACUUUAUCAAGGUAUGUGCUUUGUGAAUGUCUAAUUAACCGUCUUGACCUAUCUUUAUAGAUCUUGAUGCCCAAUAUAUAAGCAGCUUCACCGAGGUCUUUCAUUGAAAAAUUCUUAUUCAAGUAUCCUUUUAUGCUAUCCAGAAAUUUCGUAUCAUUUUCGAUCAACAAUAUGUCAUCCACAUAUAAUAUCAGAAAUGCUACAAAGCUCCCACUCACUUUAUAAAGGCUUCUCCAAAAGUCUGUAUAAAACCAUAUGAUUUGAUCACACUAUCAAAAUGUAUAUUCCAACUCUGAGAGGCUUGCACCAAUCCAUAAAUGGAUCACUGGGCUUGCACACUUUGUUAACACCUUUUGGAUCGACAAAACCUUUUGGUUGCAUCAUAUACAACUCUUCUUUAAGAUAUCCAUUAAGAAAUGCAGUUUUGACAUCCAUUUGCCAAAUUUCAUAAUCAUAAAAUGCGGCAAUUGCUAACAUGAUUUGGACAGACUUAAGCAUCGCUACGGGUGAGAAGGUCUCAUCAUAAUCAACUCCUUGAACUUGUCGAAAACCUUUCGCAAAAAGUCGAGAUUUGUAGACAGUAACAUUACCAUCAUCGUCAGUCUUCUUCUUGAAGAUCCAUUUAUUCUCUAUGGCUUGCCGAUCAUCGGGAAAGUCAACCAAAGUCCACACUUUGUUCUCAUACAUGGAUCCCAUCUCAGAUUUCAUGGCCUCAAGCCAUUUCGAGGAAUCUGGGCUCAUCAUUGCUUCCUCAUAGUUUGUAGGUUCAUCAUGGUUGAGUAACAUGACCUCCAGAACAGGAUUACCAUACCACUCUUGUUGGGAAUAUGACUACCAGGUAUGACCCGCCCAGGAGGGGCCGGGUCAAUCCUAAUGGCGGGUUACUAAAAGAAGCUCAGUGAAUAUACAAGGCGAUAGUUUAUUAUAAGACUUGUAGUAGGACCAAGCCCAAAGGCGGGUUAAGGCCCAUAAUUGUAAACCGCCAUGUAUAAGAAAGAAUUGUAAAGAAAGGCAUGUAAGAGAAGUCACCGAGCCGGGCACGUUAUAUGAGCCGGCUGGGACUCUGUAGGCCGCCAGGCGUCAACCCGUGUAUAUAAGGGGACGACCCGGUGGCGGCUUAGGGCAAGUAACAUCAAAUCGAGAGCCAUGCAUAGCGUAUUUGCUCCCUGGUCAUCGAAACCUAGCAAUACCACAUCAACUGGACUAGGCUUUACCUUCACCGUAGGGGGCCGAACCAGUAUAAACCUUUCGUGUCCUUUGUCCCGAUUAACCCCUUUAAGCUUCCUAGUUGCGAUGGCUCCACGACUAAGUCCUUUCAGUAGGACAUCUGCCGUGACAAUUCCACGACAGUUGGCGCCCACCGUGGGGCCAUCGCACGAUGGAUUUGAGUUCUUGAAGGGCAGCUUCCAAGGGCUCAAGGGAUACGCUGUGGGCCGGAUAACCAAAAGUUGUCACAGCAAGCUCUACAUCGACGACGCAGGCUGGGGCCCCGAGGCUGGCUCAAUCGAGUACGGGUACCGGGUCCCCUUCGGCGGAAUCCACGUCUUCAUCGGCCGGAUCGGCGAGCCGGGCCCUGAGUCGGACAUCUGCACCGACCUCAUCGAGAUGGCUCAGCGAGUGAGACCUGCCCGGGCUCAACCUGCCGUGAGGCGUGCCUUCGUGGGUUGCAUCCAUGGAGGGGAAUUUUCUGAAGGAUCGAUGGACGGUGGUGAGACAGUCGUUUGCUCUAGCAGUGAGUCGUCCAUAGGCGAGACAGAUUCUUUGUAUCAGCUACAAGAUGGCGGGCUUGGGGGCUGUUCCGAUGGCAGUAGUAUUCCGGACCCCUCUGAGCCGCCGAAUCGAGCCGGAGUCUUCAUGGCUGGCACUCAACCUGGUUAGAAUUCUAUGGCUGCGGCAGCAAUAACCACUGGGUCAGCAGGGGCCGGGUCAGGAGACCCCGCGCGCCCACCGGCUCAGGUACUAAUGGACCUCAUGGAUAGGAUGACGGCCCUGUUGACUGCUGUGGUUGAGCCGGCAGAUAAGGCUCAGCAUGACGCAGAGGUAGCACAGCUACACAGAGAGGUAGCACAGGCCAAGGAAAAUUUAGUGGCGGAAGAUGUCAGGAUGGCCGCGGAACGGGCGGCUCUGGAUGCACGGGCUCGGCAGCUUCAAGCGAAGACUUUCUGGCUCUCGGUGGAUCUGAACGCAUCAAACGAGGUCACGAGGAGAAGGCACCAGAAGGCUCAAUCAUGUCUGCCUCUGACUUACGAUCCUAGGAACCUUUUUCACACACCCGGGACUGGUCCCAGUAACCCGCUGAAGGCAAACCGGAUCACAACACCCGGGACCGGGACGCCGGUUCAACCGCGGGCCAUGGAACCACCGCGUGUGAAUACUGCUCUGCCUCACUACACAGCGAUACCACCGGGUCACUUCUCUAACCCCUUGGAGAACCUUAUUGCUGCGUCGGCUCAUCUGGCGGCUCUCCCGAUGGAAGGUGACUCUUCGACGGCGAUCGAGACACGACGGGUCAGAGAACUUCUUCAGACGGCUCUGGCACAGCAGGAUGCAUAUUCUUAUAGUUGAGAUAGAAUCCAUUCAACCCCUCGCCCAAGCCGGAGCCCAAGCUAUAGCAGGCAUAUGGACUCGGCGGCCAUGUCAAGCAACACCCAGCGCCGUAACCAUCCACGUGGGCGUGACCCGGCCCCGGGCGGAGCUUGUAACUUGGUAGACCAGGAGAGGAUCCGUCAAGAGGCUGAACGGGUGGUUCAACAGGCGGCUGAGCAAGCGGCUCACCAAGCUUUUCCAAUUUAUACAGUGACCUCUGUUGAAGCAGGGGUGGCCACAAGGACAGGAGGAGUCCCUUGUCUUGUGCAGUCUCUGCGUAAUGAGCGUUUACCAAAGGACUUUAAGGGGCCUCGUAAGGUGCCCAAUUACACAGCCGACCUGCAGCCCGGAGCAUGGAUUGAAAGUUACGAGAUGGCCAUGGAGUUAUUAUAAGUCAGUGACGCAGCAAUGGCCAAAUACUUCACCAUGAUGUUGGAUGGAACAGCUCGUACUUGGUUAAAGGGGUUACCGCCCAACUCCAUCGGCUCAUGGGCGGAGUUGAAGGCACGGUUCAUUCAGAACUUUAAAGAUACCUGUAAACAGCCCAUGUCAAUCGUGGACUUGACUAACUGCAAGCAAGAGGAAGGCAAAUCCAUGACCCAUUGGGUGCGCCGGGUCAAGGAAAUAAUACAUUCAUCUGAUAAGAUGGAUGCCAGCUCCACGGUCUUAAUGUUGGAGAAAAAUUACCGUUUUGAACCUCUGAAACAGAAGCUGGGGCGGCUCAAGCAUGAUUGUAAUGACAUGGGCCAGUUGAUGGCGGCUCUGGUCAAAUAUGCUGACUCUGACAGUACCAAGGAUCCCAUGUCUGACGAAGAGAAGACGAGGAAGGGAAAGAAGAACGGCAACGGCAAGGGUCACCAGCAUAACCCGACAAAUCAAGGAGGUAAUAAACGCAAGGCUGACGAGUUUGUGGCUAACACCAAUGCACAUGGCAACAACCAAUGGCGCAAGGGGAGGCCACCUCCUCGGUCAGGCGGAUCAGGUCCCACCCUCGAGCAACUACUAAAUGAACCCUGUCCGGGACAUGGCACCCGGGAGAAGCCGGCUACCCAUCUGUGGAAGGAUUGUACGAUCAUGAAGGCUUUUAAGAAUUCUAACAUGUUUGAUGGUAACCACGGGCCUGCUGGCGGCUCAGGCGGUGGCGGUUUUCAUGGCCAAGGCCAUCCGGGUAGUCAAGGCGAUUAUAGUCAGCAAUCCGGCCAGGGCAGUCAGCAACAGCAGCAACAGCCCGUGUAUCAGAGUAACCCAAAACAGCUGAACAGUGGACAGUACCAUGUGUUUACCACCAGUUUGUGCAAGAGGGACCAGAAGCUUCAGAAGAGGGAUGUAAAUGCUAUUGAGCCGGCGGUUCCACGUUAUUUGAGAUGGUCUGAACAACCUAUUCUGUGGAGUAGGGAAGAUCACCCACCCCGGGUUGAUAAUCCGGGUCAUCUGGCUUUGGUGGUGGCGCCUCAGGUUGGUGGAUAUAAGUUCACUAAAGUGCUCAUGGACGGAGGCAGUAGCAUCAACGUCCUCUAUUAUGAGACGUUCUGUCGCAUGGGGUUGACUGAUAAGAGUCUUAAAACAUCCAACACUGUUUUUAUGGGGUAGUGCCUGGUAAGUCGGCGUACCCAGUUGGUAAAAUUGAGCUGGAAGUGGCCUUUGGAGAUGAGUAUGAUUCUAGGGCUGAGAAGCUAACUUUUGAAGUGGUUAAAAUCAAGAGCCCAUAUCACGCUCUGUUUGGACGGCCGGCUUAUGCUAAGUUCAUGGCCCGGCCGUGUUAUGUGUAUUUGCAGCUCAAAAUGUUGGGUUAUAAAGGCACUAUCAUAGUACAUGGAAGCCGGAAAAUAGCCCUGGAAUGUGAAGAAGGUGAUGCUGCAUAUGCCGAGUCUGUUUGUGCAACAGAGGAAUUGAAGUUUUAUAAGGAUAAUGUUGACCCGGCAAACAUGGCGUCUUUGAAGAAGCCAACUACGGAGCAUGAGCCGGCAUUGAAAUUCAAGUCCGCUGAUGACACCAAGAUGAUUGAUUUCGUGUCUGGCGACUCAUCCAGACACUUCAUUAUCAGUGCUAACUUGGAUCCAAAAUAGGAAAGCGUGCUCAUCGAGUUCAUCCAUGAGAACCGGGACAUCAUUGCAUGGAAGCCUUCUGACAUGCCGGGUGUUCCGAGAGAACUCGUUGAGCACACUCUCAAUAUUCAUCCAAAGUUUAAGAUGGUCGGGCAAUUUCUUCGGCGGUUUAACGAGGAAAGGUGCAAGGCCAUUGGAGAAGAGGUGGCCCGGCUCUUGGCGGCCGGGUUCAUUGUUGAAGUUUUUCACCCAGAGUGGUUGGCUAACUCGGUGCUUGUGCUUAAAAAGAACGGCACCUGGCGCAUGUGUGUGGAUUACACAAAUUUAAACAAGGCUCGUCCAGCUGAUCCUUUUGCUCUCCCUCGUAUUGAUCAAAUCAUUGAUGCUACGGAGGGUUGUGAGCGUUUGAGUUUUCUGGAUGCUUAUUCGGGUUAUCAUCAGAUCAAGAUGGCAGUUAAGGACCAGGAGAAAACAGCUUUCAUCACUCCGUUUGGAGCCUUCUGCUAUGUGUCUAUGCCUUUUGGGCUCAAGAGUGCCCACGCGACUUAUCAGCGGUGUGUACAAAAUUGCCUUCAUAAUCAGAUUGGGUGUAAUGUUCAUGCUUAUGUGGAUGAUAUAGUGGUGAAAUCCAGAGAGAAGGAAACCUUAGUAGCUGAUCUAAAGGAAACCUUUGGUAACCUCCGGGUCUACAAGAUGAUGCUUAACCCGGCCAAGUGUGUUUUUGGAGUCCCAGCUGGCAAGCUCUUGGGUUUUUUGGUGUCUAAUGGAGGCAUUGAGGCUAACUCGGAGAAAAUAAAGGCAACCACGUCUUUGGCUAAACCGGCAUGCAUCAAUGACGUUCAGCGGCUGGCGGGCCGUGUCGCAGCUUUAAGCCGGUUUAUAAGUCGGUUGGGCGAGAAGGCUAUGCCAUUGUAUCAAAUGAUGAAAAAGGUGGAUGACUUUGUAUGGAGUGACGCUGCUGAUUCCGCUUUUGAAGGUUUGAAAAGACAGCUUGCUGGGCCACCUAUUCUUGCUGCCCCCGUUGAGAAGGAGCCGCUAUUGUUAUAUGUGGCUGCUAACUCACAAGCCGUCGGCAUGGCCAUUAUUGUGGAGCGCAAGGAGGUUGGCAAGGAACAUCCAGUUCAAUGGCCGGUUUACUACGUCAGUGAGGUGCUCAUUGGAUCCAAGAAAAGAUACCCACAUUAGCAAAAACUUGUUUAUGGGGUGUUCAUGGCAAGCCGGAAGCUUAAGCAUUACUUCCAGGGUCAUCCUAUCACUGUGGUUAGCUCUGCUCCUUUAGGAGAUAUUAUUUAGAACAGAGAAGCCACAGGACGAGUCGCCAAGUGGGCCAUUGAGCUUGGGGUCUCAUAAUAUAAAGUAUGUGCCACGUACGGCUAUUAAGUCUCAAGCACUGGUGGACUUCAUUAAUGAUUGGACGGAGUUACAGACACCUGAAGAGAAGCCAGACAACACAUAUUGGACGAUUCAUUUCGAUGGGUCCAGGCAGUUGGAAGGCUCGGGGGCUGGAGUUGUGUUAACUUCUCCUCGAGGUGACAAGUUUUGUUAUGUGUUGCGAUUGAUGUUUCCUUGUACUAACAAUGCAGCAGAAUAUGGGGCCUUGCUCCAUGGUCUUCGAAUGGCUAAAGAGAUGAGUUUAAGACGGGUACGGUGCCUUGGCGACUCAGAUUUGGUGGCUCGGCAGGUGUCAGGCAAGUGGGAUUCCAAGGACCCUCUCAUGGCGGCUUAUCGCCGGGAAGUUGAUGAUGUUGUUGGACAUUUCAAAGGUUAUCAGGUGGAGCACAUUGACCGCAGAAAAAACAAAGCGGCUGAUGCUUUAAGCCGGUUGGGAUCACAGCGUAAGCUGGUGCCACCUAACACUUUUCUAGAUGUUCUUCAAAACCCUUCUGUCAAACUGCCUACAGAGGAAGAUUUGGUCAUUCCAGACCCGGAGGCACAGUUAGUAGCGGCUCUUCAUGUUAUUCCAGAUUGGACAUUACCGUAUUUGGCUUACAUGACCCGGGGUGAGUUGCCAGAGGAUGAGACCUUGGCUCGACAGAUAACCCGACGGUCUAAGUCAAUGACAAUUUCCAAUGGUGAGUUGUAUCAUCGCAGCGUCACUGGAGUGUUUCAACGUUGUGUCUCUCCCGAAGAAGGUCAAGAAAUUCUUCGUGAGAUCCAUGAAGGGGAUUGUGGUCAUCACGCUGGUUCAAAGUCUCUUGUGGCUAAAGCUUUUCGUCAUUGUUUUUACUGGCUAACGGCUCACGCUGAUGCAGAGGAUCUGGUCAGUAGGUGUGAUGGGUGUCAAAAAUUUGCACGACGAGCGCACGUGCCGGCUUAAGAAUUGCGGAUGAUUCCAAUCACUUGGCCGUUUGCAGUCUGGGGGCUUGACAUGGUUGGACCUUUUAAAAGAUCCAAGGAUAAAAAGACACAUCUUUUGGUGGUAGUUCACAAAUUUACAAAAUGGGUUGAGGCAGAGCCGGUUAGUAAGUGUGAUGCAGCCACGAUGGUUCAGUUCAUGAAAAAGGUGAUCUUUCGUUUUGGCUUUCCACAUAGCAUUAUAACUGACAAUGGUACUAAUCUGUCCAAAGGCAACAUGGAGGAGUUUUGUCAAUGUGAGCAUAUCCGGCUUGAUGUUUUGUCUGUAGCUCACCCCCAAUCCAAUGGUCAAGCUGAGAGAGCAAAUCAGGAAAUCCUAAAAGGUCUCAAGCCCGACUUAUGGUUCGUUUACAACGGACGCCGGGUUGUUGGGUGGAGGAAUUACCCUCGGUGCUGUGGAGUAUCAAUACCACUCCUAACAGAUCUACAGGUUAUACACCUUUCUUCAUGGUUUAUGGAGCAGAAGCAGUUCUGCCUAGUGACAUCCGUCAUGACUCACCUCGCGUGGCGGCCUAUGUUGAAGCUGAUAAUGAACAAGCCCGACAGGAUGCACUUGACUUGUUAGAUGAGGAGAGAGAUUUGGCAGUGGCUCAAUCAGCAAUUUAUCAACAAGACUUGCGCCGUUAUCACAGCCGCCGGGUUAAGUCCAGAACCUUUCAAGAAGGUGACCUAGUGCUCCGGCUCAUCCAGGAUCUGUCUGAUGCACACAAGCUAUCCCCGCCUUGGGAAGGACCCUUUGUGGUCAACAAGAACUUAAACAAUGGGUCAUAUUACCUCAUUGAUGUUCGAGAGCACAAAGACCCACGUAAGUCGGAGGAGGAGACCCGCCGGCCGUGGAACAUCGCUCAGCUUCGGCCAUACUACACUUAAACCAUCGGCUCUCAUCAUGUACAUACUUUGACGUUGUAUAUAAUAUGAUAAGUAAUAAAGCAGGACCUCUGUCCUUUUUCCCCUUCAAUGAUCAUAUAUCUUUAUUAUUUUCAUUAUUUAAAAUGACCAUUAGGGGGCUGAUCGUAUCCGAAUCUAGCUUAACCCUUUUGGUCCGGCUCAUGAUCGUAUUCGAAUCUAGCCGUAAAACUCAUGGUCACUUGGGGGCUUCCUGUUCAAACAUAGGUCGUAUUCGAACCAAAGAGAACAUAGCUGUCGUAACCCUCUUGAUCGGCUCAAAGCCAAACUCACUAGGGGGCUUCUUGAUCGUAUCUGAAUCAUAGCUUAACCCCUUUUUGGGUCCAACUUGGAUCGUAUUCGAAUCAGGGUCGUUAAAAACCUCUCAAGGUCAUUUGGGGGCUUCCUAUUCAAACAUAGGUCGUAUUCGAACCAAAGAGAACAUAGCUGUCGGUACCCUCUUGAUCGGCGCAACGCCAAAGCCACUGGGGGCUAUAUGAUCGUAUCCGAAUCUUAGCUUAACCCCUUUGGUCCGGUUUACUGAUCGUAUUCGAAUUAGAAGCCUCCAGUUUUUAUUUAAAUGUUUGAUUUACAUUGUCUGAAGCCUAGUGUUUUAUCUUACUAUUUUUAUCGUCUCAAAUCUAACUGUUAGUAUGGUUUCAAAUUAAACCGGCUUGGCUAUUUGACAAUGUGUCGCCAAGGCAUAACAGUCAUCAGACAUAUGGAAGUAUUGACUUCUAAAAAAGAUUGGGUUAUCAACCUCAUCAUCCGGGUCAUGUAAACCGACAGUCCAUGUUCAAAAACCACAGGUAUGACAGUGUCAUUCAUGAACAGACUUCCCUGGGUUUUUCGUCAGUCAAAGGAUUUUUCAGCCUUGUUUAUCUUACAUCUGGUUCUAUUUUUUCCACUAUGAUAAUUUCAUAAUCAUGUACCGGGUGUUUUGACCCGUCCGGUGCUAAGCCACCGGGACAGUUUUUUUCAUCUUUUACAGGAACAGAGUUAAAACAUUACAGAUGUAACCACGAUGUAAUGCAUAUAUAUAUUGACAUCAUGGGCAAAGAGUCAUAUGAAACAUCUUAUGCACGAUGGCAUAGGCAAAAUAUGCAAUUUUCAAACUAACCUAUUACAAGGCAUUGAGAGCCCAAAAGGUUAAACGGUUUUCUCUCUUAAGCAGGUCUUAAGCUAAAAACUGGAUUGUUCAGAUGGUUAUGACUCCUCCCUGGCCGUUUCACCUCCCUCCACUGGUUGGAAGCUGGGAUUGGACCAGUCAAAGCCGUUCAGAGCAAUGAACUCAGCCUCAUCGUCAAUUAGGCCGGCCGGGUCAAUUUGCAGGGCAAAAGUGUGUUGACGAACCGGCGGGAUAAGAUCCAUCACUUUAUAAGAGGGAGUCGCCAUCUUUUUAUUCUCCAUAUCAAAACCCGACUGAUAUUUUUCGAUGUUGGUCUCCUCACCAAGAAUGGUAGCCUGAGGACGAACUCCCCUCACACAAGCAAUAAAGUCAUCUUGCUCAAACGGAGUCCCGUCUUCCUUCAUGGUAGGGUACCCCUUAGCCACGUCCACCGGGUGUAAAUCGGGCACCCAGGCUUUGGAGCGGCUCAGGGCAGUCAGGGCUCCGACUCUGGCACAAGAUCGUUUGACCUCUUGAAAUCUGGCGGGUAAGAUCGAUAACUUCUUCAAAACAUCACUUAAACGGUUGGGUCCUUGGUUGGCAGGGGAUAUAUAUAGUAGAAAGUGCUCGUUGAGCACCAGUGUACAGUUGCUCCACCAAGGUAUAAACCGCCUUCAGUUUUGUCACACUAUCUUGACUCAGAUAUUUUACUUCGUGGACCUGUGAGUACUUUUUAACAAAGGCUCAGCAGGCGGCUUAUAUUUCUGGUUAAAAUAAAGUAUAAGUGACUAAUGCAAAUGACUUACCAAAGAUGGCGGAGACCAUUUGAUACACACGGUUUUUUAAGCCGGUGAGCUCCAUGGUAACCUCCUCAAGAGUCGCCUCUGCUGUCUUGGCACGUUGUGUCAGCAAGGUCUUCUCAUCGGCCCAGGAUUUCUUCUUCUCAGUCACACUGGUCUUCAAUUUUUCAGUUUUAGAGAGACUCAAUUGGAGUUUGGAGUUAGCAGUCUUUAUCUCCGCUUCUUGAUCCGCCAGCCGGGUCUUUGCAUCCGUCAAUUGAGAUCCCAAUUCAGUUAGGGCGGUCUACAAACAUGCAUAGGUGUGUCAAAAUUUAAACACAAGUUAUAUUGAUUAAAGUCGCGAGUGCUUUGCAACGCAACACCACUUGGCACUUGGGGGCUAAUGUCUGCCAAAGCAAUUUUAUGCAAAAUGACUCUUCUAUGUUUCAAGUCCCAAGUGUUUUACAAAGUAACAACGCUUGGCACUUGGGGGCUAAUGCAUGAUAUUCAGAAAGUUUUUCAAGAUGAGCCGGAUCACACUACUUAUUUGGACUAAUCUAAGACAGUUAUGAAGUUAAGUACCGGGUCAUUUAUGAUAAAUUGAGCCGGCCCUUGGGGACUACAUGUGAAGUUUAUACUAAUCCGUUGAACUUAGGAAAAAUCUAAAGACAAGGUAUCAACCUAUAUCAUAAGUCUACAGAUCAUUCAGGUUCAUCAUAAUCUGAAGACUUGGGGGCUGGCAGAGUAUAUAUAAACCGGAGAACGUACCUCAUAUUCUGUAACAUCCCAAAUUUUCAAUUUGGAAUGUUACACGUUAGGUCAUCAUGCAUAUCAUAUUUUAUUUUUCUUUUGGUUUUGAUCCUAGAAAAUCCUAAGCAACUCAAGGACCCACGGAGAGAGUUGGGGAUUUCAUUAUUUACAUAUUUGAGUUUUCUCAAAUUAUGUAAACAGGAUCAUUUGAUUUUAUUUAUUCUAUCAUCAAUUAUUUCUAUUACAAAAAUAUGAGAGAGGGAAUAAAAUGACUUUUCCAAAAUAUAGAAAUAUUGAGGAUUUAAUAAAAAAUCAAAUAAGUUUUAUUUCGGAGUUUUUUGGUAUUUUUAUUUGAAUUUAGGAAAAAUGCGCGUUUUUCAAAUUGUAGUUUGGGCCCAGAUAAAUGUUCACUUUAUCGGGCUUGAUUUUAGGAACCCGGCAAAAUUUAUUUCGUGAUUUUUGGAGUCCGUUUAGUAUUUCUUUUUAUUUUUCUUCCGAGCGGAUUUAAAAAAAAACUAGAACCGACUCCGUGCCGUAACCGGCCAGGAAACCUCCGCCCGGGGCCUUUAUAUAGCGCCCGAACCGGCCGAGAGAGAGAGAGAGGCCCGAAGCCAGCUAACCCUAACCCUAGCUAAGCCGCCGCCGCCUCCCAGCCGUCGCCGCCCGCCGCUGCCGACUCGCCGGAGCGCGCGCCUUUCGAGGUUCGCCGCCGCCUCGUUUUCCGUGAAGUUUUUUUUUAAAAAAAAAAUCUGUUCGUCGUUUUUCUUUUUCGUCGGAUUUUCCGCGGUUAUUUUCUGAUCGCGAUUUCUGAUCCGGUUUUCGUUUUAGUAUAACUUUUCGCUCGUUUAUCGGAAUCAGGCGAUUCAAGCGCCUGGAGUUUCGUCUCGAAACCCUCUUUCCGAAUAAUCAACUUAAACAAGUUUUUGCUACUGUAAAAUUUGCCCUAGAUCCAGAUUACUAGAAGGAAGUUGUUUUUUUUGCCGUUUGAUUUCUUUCGCUUCGUUCGAUUUGAUUCUUUUGCCAACCAGGGUUCUUAAGUUGAACUUUCUGGUUAGAUCUUCUAUUUGAGUUUUACUUGUGCAUUAGAUGAGUACUUAUUGUAUGCUUGAUGUUUGUCUGUGAUAGAAUACCCGGAGUGCGCCGCCUGUUACUUCGAAUCUCUAGGUUUCGCGGAUCAUCAGCAAGGCAAGUAACACUUUGAUCAUACCUUUUCUACAACCCAGUUUUAUUGCAUUAGAUCAAUCCUCACACAUUGCAUGAUUAGGAUCUAAUUAAAUUGUGGGAUGGGAAGUAGAUGAGGUAGUACCUAUUACCUGUUUAUUAUCAAACCUUUGGGAGUUACUUCUACGUUUGCUUAUGCCAUGUUAUGCCGGUAGACGUGGAUUGGGUGAGUGAUAUCCAUGACAGAUGUGAGAUUUAUAAUUAAGGGUUAUCUAAGGUGGCAACCUAACACACAUCUGGGUGGAUUGAGGCACCUGGGGUUACCAGGACUUGCCUGUUUUCUUUUGGACCGCCACCCAGGCCCAAAGGGAUCAUGAGAUUUUUCAUACUAGAAACUUCCGUGUGCAGCCACAAGCCAUUAUGGGCUCUGGCAUAGUUGACUAAGUUGUGCGAACUCUUACAGUGGUAGACUAGCAGAUGUAGGGGAAAGUAGGUGUACCGGUCUACCCGUCGUAAGGUGCUAGCGCUUCUGAAAGACUGUGUCUCGGUCAUCCGUUUCUCAAACACCUUGUAGUGCGAGAAACCAAACGGAGGUGAUCGAGUCUUGUGGGGAAAAGUGCGCAAACCUCUGCAGAGUGUAACAAACUAAUCAUGGUUAGCCGUGUCCCUGAUUAUGGACAUCUUGAGUAUCUAUUACCUGGAUUAUCAUGUGAAUCUCAACAUGUUACUCUAAAAUUAAUUUUGUGGGAUUUUAAUGAUGUUACUUAAUUGGGAUUGAGGAUGCUGUCAACCAUUCUCAAUGUUUAACAACCACCAUGAUAGUAAUUAAUUUUAUUCCUUUGAAGUAGGGAAAAAUUGGCUUUACGCAAAAACUGUAACCAUAGAGCUUUCCACCAGCCAAAUAUGCAUAUAGUAUAGUUGUUGCAUUCCAUUACUCUCUAUGUGUUACCUUGCCAGCAUAUUCCAUGUGCUGACCCGUUUCGGGCUGCAACGUUAAUGUUGCAGACUUUUCAGAUGACGAUUGAGGAAUUUUAGGUCGUGGUUCUAUACUCAGUGAUGCCGUUGGAGUUGAUGGACUCACUUAUCUUCCAAGCCUUCCGCUGUUAUCGUUAUUAGAUGGCCUUAAGCCAUAUUUAUUGUAAUAAGUUCUCUUUUGAGACACUCGAUGUAAUAAGUGUGUGAUUGCUACUCUGCUAUAAAUCCUCCGAGUACUGUGUGGUGUCAGCAUUACUGAUCCAAGGAUGACAUCGGAGCACAGAGAUCAGACUGUUUAAGGUCUGGUCGCUACAUAUUCCAGUUGCAAUUGCUUGACCAUCUCAAUUUCCGAGUCACGGCUGGAAUGCACAGGACUGAGAUAGCCGGACAGCAUGUCACUAACAUUCAGAUGAGCAUAGUGAGAGAUAUCAAAUUGUACUUUCUGUCUUUCCAAGGCCUCCUGUUUAGCAGAAUGCCUGGCCAGCACAGUCGGAUUACCCGGCGCAACAAAUCUGCUGCCAGUGAUCAAAACGUCAUGGUCAGAAGAUGCUGGCAGGUUAGCUGAACCGGACGGUCUGACGGUGGAUGGAUCGACAAUGGUUUCGUCAGCUGACGGCUCAGGAGGGUCCAAUUGAGCAUGGACAGCUAAAUCUUCUGGCGCUUCAGAUUGAGUGGGAGGAGUUGAUGUUGCCAGUUCAGGUGCAGGAUUUUUUGGGUCCUCUGCCGGUUUAAUCACCUUGGCUUUCUUGGACUUUGCUUGACCGCUAAGAAAGAUUUUUAUGAAAUAGUUAGUAUAAUGAUGCAGUUUUAAAAAUGUAGAGGAAAGAUGAUUUUCCUUACCCAUGGGCAGUCUUGAAAGCCGGAAAUUGAGUUUGGGAUGAGUCGCCAGAAGAGCGAGAGACCUCCUGCAAAGGUAAAAUAAAGUUAAGAAUAUAAGGAAAUAAAUUCAUGGAUAAAAACAAAGGACAAAGGUGAAAGAAACCUCAUUCUGGCGUUUUUGAGGAGUUUUUUCUAAGUCGAAAGGUGGUUCAUCAUCAUCAUUAGUCCGGGCCAGAUGGCGGCUCUCAUGUUGCUGCUUUUUCAAAAGAAAAUGAGGGUCCAAAUAAGCCAAAGGGUGCAAAAACCUUACUUUCCGGGUUACCAGUCGAAGUUUCUGUCUCGGCAAAGGGGCUGAGUCGUAGGAAAUAGUUACCUCUUCUUCCGCGGCCUGGCUGGCCCCCGUGUCAUCCUGGCAAUAGUCAGUGUCAAUAAGAUAGUUGAAAAUUUGGCCAAGGGAGAAAGGGCUACCUCCGACUCAGAAACAUCAUCAAGCUGGAAGAUGUCAGAUGCAGUCUUCUUCUUGGGCUUCCGGGUCGUUCUCUUGGCGGCUACGGCAGCGGAUCUAGCCUUCUUGGUAGCUUCAUGAUCAUACUUGGCCUUCCAGAAGUCAGAUUUGUCCUGUAAACAAAUAAAGAGGUUAAAAGGUCAUGCAAGUAUUUAAACUACUGAGGUAAACACAAAAAGAGAAAAAGGUCAAGAAGUUACCUCUGGUGUCGGGUUAAGUUUGCAGAAGGGGUUUAAUCCAACCUUGCUGUAGUCCUCGUAUUUGCCAUUCACGAGGAUGGUAGACAUUGCAACAAUGUCUUCUUCAGUUAAUUGUACAGAGCUAUAACGCAGAGAAUCAUUUGGGCCUCCGCCAUACUUAUACAUCAACUUGGAUCGGCGGCUUAGAGGGAUGACCCGCCAUGAGAUCCAGCAAUGGAUCAGGUCAACUCCGGUUAAGCCAUUUCCCAAUAAAGCUUGAAUCCUUUUGACAGAUGGGAUAAGCUUCUUGCGUUCAGCAGUAGUAAGCUUGUCAGGGAGCACAAACUUGGAAUCAAGACGCUCUUCACGAUAACCCGGCAGUGGUUUUUCAUCAGCCGGUGAUGUAUCUUGGCAGUAGAACCAGGUUUGCUUCCAGUCUUUGGGAUGGCUCGGUAAGACCACUAAAGGAAAAACGGCACCUUGUCAGCGUUGAAUUGAAAUUCUGCCAAGUUCCAAGCUAAGGCCGUUGGUGCACUCAUUCUGGCGGUUCAAGUAAAAGUACUCUCUAAAGAGCUCCACAGUUGGUUCUUCUUGAAGAUAUACCUCACAAAGAACUUGAAAAUUGCAGAUGUUGGAUAUAGGGUUGGGUCCAAUAUCUUGUGGAUGAAGCUUGAAAAAAUGCAGGACAUCUUGGACGAACUUUGAGCCGGGUGGUGAGAAGCCCCGGUUCAUGUGAUCUGUGAAAACGAUAACUUCGCCGUCUUUGGACUAAGGUCGUUCUUCGUCCGGGUCAGGAGCACGAUAAGACAUAACGCUUUUCUCUGGCAAAAAUCCAAUGGUGACAAAUUAUUUCAAGGUAUCUUCAGUAACUGUGGAAGGCACCCGGUUGCAGACAGUUGGCGCUUUUGACGGCAUGAUGAAGAAAGGGCAAGCUGAAAAGAAAGUAAUUUGCCGGUUCAAUUUAUUGGUGGAGUUACAGGUUCAUGAUUAUAGUACAGAUGAGUAAUGGCGGCUUAAGUAAGGGCUAAUGACAUGUAAAGGAAAAAUAAGCCGGAGUCAUAAGCCGCCAUGACUAAAAAGUAUUUGAAGGUUGCCAGAAUCAAAAUUGACUAAAGUGUUGAGACAAACAGGUUUCCCAAGUUGUGGCUAUUAUUAUGGAUCAAAAUGGUUCAGAAAAUAAAAAUAAAGUUAGACCUAGAAAACGAGCACAGAGGAGUUUGUCAGCUCUAAAGAGGCAUUUAUACAGGAGAAGGGGAUCUGUUAGCUUCAAAAAUGGAUGAGAAAUAGCUACCUCAUAAGUUUUGUACUACUUUUAGAUCAAAAGAGGGUGCGGUAAGAGAAGUUGCAACGAAUCUAUGACGAACAACGAAGAACACAAGAAGGAAACCUCCCGAACCCUAAUGCAGAUCUAUGGGGGUGAGAAGGUGAGAGCUUACAGGUGCGGAGCUGCUGCGGAGGAUCGCCACCGUUCUCUGGAUAGACUCAGGGUGAUGCUGCGGCCAGAGUUGAGGACGACGGUGCGCUACGGUGGCGACGGAGCUCGAGCGGCAAAGAAGGUGCGAGAGGAAGAAGAAAGAGGAAGGACUGGCCGAGCCUAUUUAUAAGGGGGUAAGUGAACGGGCAGACGCAAAAAUUGAGGAAGACCAAAGUAAUGAUUAUCCAGCUAAAUGGACGCCUCGAUCUUCGGAAAACAUUUAAGAUAAGGAUCCGUUGAAGAUGAAAUCGUGGUGUUUUUCCAAAUUUUUUCAAUCCUAAUGGUUGGUUAAUAAAAUAAGCUCAGUGAAUAUACAAGGCGAUAGUUUAUUAUAAGACUUGUAGUAGGCCCAAGCCCAAAGGCGGUUUAAGGCCCAUAAUUGUAAACCGCCAUGUAUAAGAAAGACUUGUAAAGAAAGGCAUGUAAGAGAAGUCACCGAGCCGAACACGUUAUAUGAGCCGGCCGGGACUCUGUAGGCUGCCAGGCGUCAACCCAUGUAUAUAAGGGGAUGACCCGGUGGCUGCUUAGGACAAGUAACAUCAAAUCAAGAGCCAUGCAUAGCGUAUUUGCUCCCUGAUCAUCGAAACCUAGCAAUAUCACAUCAACUGGACUAGGCUUUACCUUCACCGUAAGGGGCCGAACCAGUAUAAACCUUUCGUGUCCUUUGUCCCGAUUAACCCCUUUAAGCUUCCUAGUUGCGAUGGCUCCACGGCUAAGUCCUUUCACUAGGACAUCAUCCGUGACAAUUCCACGACAACUCUGGUGCGGAUCUUACUAUGGUUGACCUACGAGGUUCAGCGGUAACUUGAUCUGAAGUUUCAUGAUCAUCAUCAUUAGCUUCCUCACUAAUUGGUGUAGGAAUCACUGGAACUAAUUUCUGUGAUGAACUACUUACCAAUUCGGGAGCAGGUACAAUUGCCUCAUCAAGUUCUACUUUCCUCCCACUCACUUCUUUCGAGAGAAAGUCCUUCUCUAGAAAGGAUCCUUUCUUAGCAACGAAUAUAUUGCCUUCGGAUCUGUGAUAGAAGGUGUACCCAACAGUCUCCUUUGGGUAUCCUAUGAAGACACAUUUCUAUGAUUUGGGUUCGAGCUUAUCAGGUUGAAGCUUUUUCACAUAAGCAUCACAGCCCCAAACUUUAAGAAACGACAACUUAGGUUUCUUGCCAAACCACAGUUCAUAUGGUAUCAUCUCAACGGAUUUAGAUGGUGCCCUAUUUAAAGUGAAUGCAGUCUGAAAGUGCGUUAUAUCGACUAGAGGGGGGGUGAAUAGGCGAUUUUUAUGAAAGUCUUCAAAACAUGGAAGUUUCGAAGACAAACGAUAGAAAUAAACCUAUUACCAUGCAGUGGAAGUUAGACUACACUAGAUAAACCGUAGUCAUGUAUUCAAUGAAGUGAAAGGACAAUGACUAAUAGUAGCUAGGUAGUAAGGAUCAGGCAGGAAGAUAUUAAGAAGCCAAACGGAUCACACAGUCACUCAGUGAAGACAAAAGAUAGAGAAAACAUACAAUGACUUCACACAGAGUAACAGUAAGUAAAGAGAAGGGAAGGAUGAAACCAGUGACUCGUUGAAGACAAAGAUUUGUUGGACCAGUUCCAGUUGCUGUGACAACUGUACGUCUGGUUAGGGCGGCUAGGUAUUUAAACCAAAGGACACACAGUCCCGGACACCCAGUCCUGAACACGCAGCUCAGGACAUCCAGUCCUCACCGUAUUCCCCUUGAGCUAAGGUCACACAGACCUCGCCCAAUCACUCUGGUAAGUCUUCAAGGUAGACUCCCAAACCUUCACAGACUUCGUUCACCGGCAAUCCACAAUGUCUCUUGGAUGCUCAGAACGCGAUGCCUAACCAGCUGGAGGAUGCACAGUCCUCAAGUGUAAUAAGUCUUCAGAUCACUCAGACAAGAAGACUUAAGUGAUGCCUAAUUCUCUUUCGCUCUGGGUGGUUAGGGCUUUAUCCUCGCAAGGAAUUCUCUCUCAAAGGCUUCGAGGUGGGUUGCUCUCAAACGACAAAAGCCGUACUUUGAAUCUGAGUAGCCAACCGUUUAUGGUUGUAGGGGGUGGGCUAUUUAUAGCCACUAGGCAACCCGACCUGAUUUGUCCGAAAUGACCCUGGGUCACUAAGGAACUAACAUGUGUUCCAACGGUCAAAUUUCAAACUCACACGGAAACUUUACUUGGGCUACAAGCAAAGCUGACUUGUCCGACUCUGGACAAGAUUUUCUCUCAUAGUCUUCACUCGAAGACAUAGGUUUUUGUUUAAGCAUCACUUUAGUCAUUCUGACUGGCUCUCUUGGACCCCACUUAACAGUAUGUUGGUUCCUAUGACUCAACACAGAAGAAAAAGAACUACGAAAAAUCUAAGUGUUCAAGCUCCAUAGGCUUCAUGCGGUGUCUUCUCUUGUCAUAGUCUUCAAUGUGAAUAUCUUCAUAUACCACCUUUGACAUCAAUGUCUUCAUACACUUUUAGGGGUCAUCUCUGGUGGGAAAACCGAAUCAAUGAGGUACUUCUACCUGUGUUAUCCUGCAAUUCUCACAAACACAUUAGUCCCUCAACUAGGUUUGUCGUCAAUACUCCAAAACCAACUAGGGGUGGCACUAGAUGCACUUACAAUCUCCCCCCUUUUGGUGAUUGAUGACAAACUAGUUGAAGUUUUCAACGGGGAAUAUAAUGUGUGAAAUUGUAAAGGAUAAGGAAUUGUCUUCAUAAGUUACAAGGGCUCCCCCUGAAGAUGUGCAUAUAAGUAAUUUGCUUUUGGAAUGCAAAUGCACAUGGCAGGUUGUGCUUGUGGAGAUCCACUUCAACUUAUGAUGACAAUCCACUAUGCAUGUGAAAGUAUGUGAAGAUAAUGACAUGCAUAAUGGAAAAUGGAUGUCUGCAGAAUGAUCUAAGUGCGGAAUCUAUCAUCGCACAUGCGGAAUUUAUCAUCACAACACAAGGUAGCAAAUAGGUAGCAGACGACCAUCAAGUUUAAGUGUUACAACUCAAAGAACCAAAUGUUUCAAAACGAGAGUUGUAAGCACGAAGCAAAAUAUAAAACACCCGCCCAUAUGGACCCAUUUGAAGACUAUCAAACUCAUAUGCUUCUCCCCCUUUUGACAGUAAGGACCAAAAAGGUUUGAAGACAUAGAGCCUCUACUCGUUCCCAUGAGGAGUAGGUGAAGCAGCAGGAUCGUUGAUGGUGUUUGGCAGUGCAGACGAGCUUGGAGCAGUGUCGACGUGUGCUGAAGGAGGCGGCGAAGAAGUAGCAUCGUCUUCAUCCUCGAUCACUCUGGCAUUCACGGUUGCAGUAGAGGAAGAGAACUCAGGGUCUUCAAGUGAUGGAGUUCGUCGCAGCACAGCCCUGCGAGGAGGUGUGGAGUCAAACUUGAAGCGCUCAGUGAAGCCAUCCUCUUGCAGAUCAUCUUCAGAACACAGCAGCGUCAGCCCUUUCCAUGUGCGUCGAGAUGUUUCAUGAGCAACAAAGGCGUUCUUGGUGGCAAGAUUGUGAAUGCGAUUAACAUCCACCAAGAGGCUUUGCAUUUGACGCUUUAGCCAGUCAUGAUGCCUAUCCUGUUUCUGAUGAAGGGCCACCAGAAGCUCUCGGUCAUUGAGGACACGAGUGCGCUUCUUGGGUCGUUGAGCAAUGGUGCUAUCAGUGGCUUCAGUAAGAGCAGGAUGCGGGGCACGGGUAGUGCCAGCCAAAGGAUACACACGUGUUACUGCUUCAAUGCCUUCAACGUUCCGAGAGAAACUUUGAUGCUCUGCAUUCUGAAGACUUAGAGGUUCCUUGGCAGGCUCAGGAUAUAUGGCUUCAAUAGACAUAUCCACAUCAGGCAAAAAGAUCCGAUGAUUGCGGGCAGAUGGCUGAUAUGAGAUAGCAGAGUGAAGUUUGAUCAGCCGCAUCACCCAAGGGGCGUAGAACUUCAACCCAAAUAGAUCAGAGCCAGAUGCAGCAAGUUGGCGAAUGAAGAAAUCCUAUGUAUUGAAGCAUUUUCCAUGAAGAAUAUAGAAGACCAAAGUCUUCAUUGCACCUUCCAGCUGGGCAUGGGGAGAAUGUCCUUUGAUUGGCCAGAGAGUUCGCCUUAUGAUAUGAUAAAUGGUCCUUGGCAGAUACUCAAGGUCUUCAACAAAGAACUCCGUGGGAUAAGCAGCAUCUUGGGGCAAUGGCUUCAUCAUACUGAGCAUCUGACUCAUAUUGGGUUCAGUCUUCUGAAAGAUGCUCUCAACAGCUUCAAUGUGAAGCUGACAGCCAUGCUCAUAGAGAUCGCCAGGAGUGGGCAAGCCAGUGAGCUCAAUGAUGUCAAAGACUUUGGCUUCGUGAUGAACAUUUCCAGUCAUCCACUCUAGGACCCAAGUCUUUGGAUCUCUGUUAUACCCGCGGAUGUGAAGUGUGGCAUAGAACUGGAGCAGCAACUCUUCAUUCCAAUGCUCUUGGUCAGUGACGAAUGGUAGCAGCCCAACUUCAUUGAAGCAAUCCAAAGCUUCUUCCAGACAGGCAGACCAGCUAUAGCUUCAAUGUCAAGGCGCUUGUGUGGGAAGAUGCGACCUUUGUUGUAAAGAAUGCAUGAGUAAUAGCUUCGCUGCUGAUAGCUCCAGAACCGAUCAGAUGAUAUUCUUUCCCUGGAGUAGGGGUUCCUGGAGCUAUUGAAGAAUGUGUUGUCUGCUCUGAAGCCAUUGAUGUUAAAGGAGCCAGGUGCUAAUGCAGGACCUGGGAACCUGGGCAAUCUUGGGAUUGGCUUCUGGACCUGAGGCCUGUGCUCAACAUGAUAGUCGAAUUGGGGACCGGCAGCAGACGCAGGAACAGGAGCAGCAGGAUUAGUGGCUUCGCUGACUUCUGGUGCUGUUGGGGGUGAGGGCUCCACAUUAGCUUCAGCCAUGACGGUGUCAGUGGCUUCAGUGGUGUUGGUGGUGGCAGCCUCUAGAUUUUCAACCUCCACUUGACGAGCUGGAGGGUCGGUCAUGAUCACGUUCUCCUCGAGAACCGCUUCUUGGUGGGGCAGGGGAGUAGCAGCUUGUGGAACUUCUUCUUCCGUGGCUGAUGCAGCUAGAUUGUCUUCAGCAGAGACUUGAGGCCUUGGACCUUUGUGAAGCCUGCGCAACGCGGGCGAUGCCUGUGGAGCUGGAGUGGGCUGGGCCUCAUAGUCUUCUUCCUCUUGUUGGCGAUCCGCCCAUGAAGCAUCCUGUGCCAUUGGCGUCAGUGGACGACCAAUGCUGAUGAGUUCGUUGUUUUCAAGCUGAGGAAGAACUGCACCAUCUUCUACAUGGUCAUGUUGACCAAUGUCUUCAGCAGUGAUGGGAUCAGCUGUUGGAAAGUCUUUAGCUUUAUGAGCCUCUGUGGAAGCAGGCUCAUGGAUUGUCAGUUGGCGUUCAGCUUCAGGAUAGACCAUUGAAAUAGGUUCAACUAUCAAAGGCUCUGUGGGAGCAGCCUGUUCCUUCUUGGUCUUUCGUUUCUUCUUGGAGGGGGCAGUAGGAGAGGCUUCAGGAUGUUUCCUCUUCCUGGCUUCAGCCUCAGCAGUCCUUGUCUUCUUGAGCUCUGAAGCGGUUGACCGGCUUUUUGGCUUCAAGCCAGUCAGUCUAGUUGGGAAGACAAUCGGAACUGCUUCCUGCCUUGGUGCGUCGGAUUCAGCCGUAGCAGUCUUCUUCUUCUUCUUUGCGGCCAUCCUAGGGUCAAUGCCAGGACGCCCAAGGGCCUUGCGCUUCUCAGCCUCAUUGUAGGCUUGCACACAUCUGUCAGCCAGAGCCUUCAUGCGCUCACGUGAAUCCCGAGCUUCUGCACAUUUCUUCAGAAAGGCUUCCUUGAGCUCGUGCAUCAUGAUCUUGAAGUUCUUCACUUCUUGCACACUGAGCUUGGCCAUAUGCUUCUUGAACUGAGCCUUUUCAUAGUCAAUCUUCUGCUUUAGUUCAACAACGUGUCGGGCGAUGGCUAGCUCUGAAGCAAUGGCGCCUUGGAAGGCGACACUGAGGCCAAUGGGUAGCUGCAGAUCAUCAAAGCUGAUGUUUGGCAUAUCAAACCACUCGUCAAUGAAGUUGUGGAUGAUGGUUACAUCAAAGAGAGGCAGAUCAUUGAAGAUUUCGGCUUCUUCUUUGCUCUUGAUGAGUUGCUCAAGAGCGUCAUCUGCAAGAUCUUCAUCACUUGACAGAUCAAUGUCAUCAUUGCGCAGAAUGGCAGCAGCUGUUAGCUCUUGGCCGGUGUGUGGCAGAGGCAUCUUGGCCUUCUAGGGCUUGGAGAUGCGUGAUAAAUCUUCGGACUGCACACUGUCUUCAGGAGAUGCAGUUGCCAGUGGCUUCGCCCUUGAGAUUUUUGGUGAAGGGGCAGGCUUUGAAGCUUUGGGCUUCUUCAACUUCUUUGGUGUUGGCGCUGCAGGCGCUUCAUCUGAUUCAGCGUUAGCUGCAGGCUCAUUCACGGUUGUCCCUUGAACCAAGAUAUGGGUGAUGAGUCCUGCAAGGUUGUAGAAAGGACCGACGACAUUGGGUUCCGCAUCGCGUGUGCCGUCAGCCCUUGGAGCAGAAGGACCAGGGUUGAAGUCUAAUCCAAAAGACUUCUUGUUCUGCUUUGCUGAGUUCUUGGCAAACUGGAAGUUGCGCUUGAAUAGAUUGUCGUCACGGCACCAUAGUAGUGACGAUGGGUGUGCAUCUGCAGGCUGUGGCCCACGCACCAUGCAGGGAUAGAAGCCUUGUUCAAUGGCUUCUUCUCUGGACCUGGGUUGAAGAUUCUUGUAUAGGAUGUCUCCCCAUGGUCUCUUGAUGGCAUUUCUCUCAGCAUAUUCCUGGGUCACAAACCGGUAUUUGAACCAUUGUUCUGCCCAAUAUCUUCGAAUCCAUUGGAUUCGGGUCUUGCGCUGAUUAUAAUCCUGUUCAGGAUCUGUCUUGUAAAGCUCUGAGAGGUCAUCAGGAAAAUCUCUUGAUGUCCCCCCACGACGCUGUCUGCCACCCUUCCUUACUGAUUUCUCUGCAGCCAUGAACUUCAAACUGAAAGGCUUCAAAACGUUCAAAGGCUUCAAAGGUUUUCGCUUGCUGGACAAACAGGAACUGGCUUCGGGAGAAUUUAUAUGAUGCUGUAAGAAUUCUGCAAAUGAAUGCAGACUAUGAGAACCAAGGGAUUCUCCCAUGGACAUGUACCUGUGACAACAUUAAGGUGCAAGGGAAGGGGAAGAGGUCAUAUGCAUUCUCAGGAGAUUUUGAAGAUAAAUCAGUUUAGAAGACAUUGACCUCAUCGUGCGAAGACAUUCACUCAUAGAUAAGGAGUUGGUUCCAGAUUUGUACGAAUCCAGUGAUCAGUACAAGUGAGGAAUCUAACUACUUGUGAAGCAUAAGUGAAUAUACUAGGCAUGUUAUGAGAUGCAGUAGGAAAGAGAUCCAACUUGUGUGAAUAGAAACUUCUUAUGGUAGAAAGUGACAAAGCCAUAGGAUCAAAAGGGGCCGUAAAAAGAAGUUUUAUUUACCACACUUGGAACUGCUAGAUGGAGUGGAAGAGGAGGCCGAGCAGUUCGAUCUUCUGUGCCCUAACUUGGCGACGAAGGACACCUACGGCGACGGCGGAGAGGACGAUGUCCGCGGUCGGUGUGAAGACGGCGUCGGAGAGGUUGCGGCAGUGAAGCGCUUCGUCGCCGGCGUCGUCGAGGGCUAGCAGUGGCACUAGGGUUCGUGCGAGGGUGGAAGAAGAGAUGAUGACCGCUGUGAAGGGUGUAUUUAUAGGUACAGGGGCGGCACUGCGUUAUUACACAGGUGCCCCUGGCGAUUCACAUCUGAGGAACACGUGGCCAUCAUGCAGUAUAUUGGGGUUUGUUCCACGUCUCACGCACGCCUAGAUUGUCGGGUGGUCGUUCCUACUUCUCCGGGUUUCAUGUGGAGGAAUGGGCAUUGAAAACGGACUUAAUGUUUGUCUCUGUAUGUUCUGCUGACAAGGACGCAGAGAAGACAUUCGACAGUUUCAAUAGAAUGCAUAUGAUUUGGAGAGAUAGAGUUUGAGAUAGAGAGCACAGAGAGGUUAGGGUCCGAUCACAUUCACUUAGAUCAAAAGAUUCAACAAGAAGACAUAGCUAUAAGUGAAUACUGUAGAGGACAGAACACUAGUAUAUAUAUAUAUAUAUAAUCAACAUAGUGAAGAUAAUCAUGAAAACAUGUUGAGAUUGAAACCAAACCAAAUGUGAAGUCAUAGCAAGGUAAUGCCAUGAGUGAAACACUUCAAAUAGAACAUUUGGUGGUGGCGUUACCCACCGUAUAGGAAGUAUUAGACCCAGACACGGCGCACAAUUAUCGUGGCGCUCCGAAGUCAAAUUCCACAUUAAUGUAUUCACACUUAGAAUGUAUGUCUUCAUUGAUUGAAGAUAUACUUUACUUCGUGUGUUGCACAUCUAAGUCAUCAAUAUGCAUAAGGGUUAGGAUGUGUGCCUGAUCACAGGACAUUUGAGGAUUCCAGGAUAUUUAGCUCACAUCGUAACUUGCAAAAUCUCUUCUCAUCCAAGGGCUUGGUGAAGAUAUCUGCCAAUUGCUCUUCAGUGUUGACGUGUAUGAUAUCAAUAUCUUCCUUCACAACAUGAUCUCUGAGAAAGUGAUGACGAAUUUCAAUGUGCUUUGUCUUCGAGUGCUGAACAGGGUUGUUGGCAAUCUUGAUGGCGCUUUCGUUGUCACAGUAGAGUGGCACUUGCUUCAGAUGAAUGCCAUAGUCCUUGAGGGUUUGCUUCAUCCACAGAAGCUGAGCGCAGCAAGAUCCAGCAGCAAUGUAUUCAGAUUCAGCAGUGGAGAGAGAUACACAGUUCUGCUUCUUUGAAGACCAACAUACAGGUGAUCGUCCCAGAAAAUGACAUGUGCCUGAUGUAGACUUGCGAUCCACCUUGUCACCAGCAUAAUCAGCAUCCGAGAAUCCAACCAGAUCAAACUCUGAGCCCUUUGGAUACCAUAAUCCUAGAGUUGGGGUGUGAGCCAAAUAUCGAAGAAUUCGCUUCACAGCUAGGUGAUGCGACUCCUUUGGUGCCGCUUGAAAUCGAGCACACAUGCAAACACUAAGCAUAAUAUCUGGCCUAGAUGCACAUAGAUAAAGCAAAGAACCAAUCAUGGAGCGGUAUACCUUUUGAUCGAACUCUUUACCAUUGUCGUCAGGACCCAGAUGAUGCUUGGCUGGUAUUGGCGUCGUGAACCCUUUGCAGUCUUGCAUACCGAACUUCUUAAGGCAAUCCUUGAGAUGCUUCUCUUGAGAUAUGAAGAUGCCGUUGCGUUGCUGUCGUAUUUGAAUACCGAGGAAAAACUUCAGCUCUCCAUCAUGGACAUCUGAUAUUGCUCUUGCAUCAUAUAUCCAAACUCUUCACUGUACUUCUGAUUGGUGCAGCCGAAGAUAAUGUCAUCCACAUAUAUUUGGCACACAAACAGUUAACCAUCAUAUGUCUUCGUGAAGAGAGUGGGGUCGAGGGAACCAGGUAUGAAGCCUUUGCUCUUCAGGAAGUAUUUGAGUGUGUCAUACCAGGCCCGAGGGGCUUGUUUGAGGCCAUAUAGUGCCUUGUUGAGCUUGUAUACCGUAUCAGGAUGUUUUAGAUCUUCAGAGCCAGGUGGUUGUGCAACAUACACUUCUUCUUCAAUCUUUCCAUUGAGAAAGGCGCUCUUCACAUCCAUUUGAUAAAGAAGUAUGUUGUGAUGAUUUGCAUAGGCCAGCAGUAUGCGUAUGGCUUCAAGUCUAGCCACAGGAGCAAAUGUUUCAUUGAAGUCAAUGCCUUCCACUUGAGUAUAUCCUUGAGCAACUAGACGAGCUUUGUUUCUGACAACUUGACCAUGCUCAUCUUGCUUGUUGCGGUAUAUCCAUUUUGUGCCUAUUAUGUUGUGCUUCCGAGGAUCAGGACGCUUAACCAGUUCCCAUACAUUAUUCAGCUCAAACCGUUGAAGCUCUUCUUGCAUAGCUUGAAUCCAUUCAGGUUCCAUGAAGGCUUCUUCCACUUUCUUGGGUUCUGUUAUUGAGACGAAUGCGAAGUGCCCACAGAAAUUUGCCAGCUGGGUUGCCCUUGAUCGACUGAGCGGACCAGGUGCAUUGAUGCUGUCAAUUAUUCUCUCAAUUUGCACUUCAUUGGCAACACGAGGAUGUACAGGGCGAAGACUUUGCUCUUGCUGAUCAUUGUCGUUGUUGGAGGGAUUGUCUUCAGGUUGAGCAUUGUCUUCAGGUUGAUCUGGUGCAGAGAUGAUGAGUUCCUCUUCAGGAUGAGCUUUAGAAGGUAUGAUUUCUCCAGUUCCCAUUAGCUUGAUUGAUUCACUGGAUGGAACUUCAUCUAGCACAUUUGGCAGGUGCUCUCUUUGUGAACCGUUAGUCUCAUCGAACCGCACAUCCACGGUUUCAACCACUUUAUAAUGAAAGAGGUUGAAGACUCUGUAGGAGUGCGAAUCCUUUCCAUAUCCAAGCAUAAAACCCUCAUGUGCUUUUGGGGCAAACUUUGAAGUGUGAUGUGGGUCCUUGAUCCAGCACCUUGCGCCAAAUACUCUGAAGUAACUGGCAUUUGGCUUCUUGCCAGUGAGGAGCUCAUACGAUGUCUUGUUCAGAAGCUUGUGAAGAUAAACACGAUUGAUUGUAUGGCAUGCAGUAUCAAUGGCUUCAGGCCAGAAUUUUCUUGGAGUCUUGUAUUCAUCUAGCAUUGUUCUGGCCAUCUCAAUGAGUGUUCUGUUCUUGCAUUCGACGACGCCAUUCUGCUGUGGCGUGUACGGGGCUGAGAAUUCAUGUGUGAUGCCCAAGGUAUCAAGAUAUGUAUCAAGGCCAGUGUUCUUGAAUUCAGUGCCAUUGUCACUUUUGAUGUGCUUUAUCUUGGCACCAUAGUUGUUCAUUGCUCGAUUGGCGAAGCGUUUGAAGACAUCCUGCACUUCAGUCUUGUAAAGGAUUAUAUGCACCCAAGUGUAUCUAGAAUAAUCAUCAAUAAUGAAGAAGCCAUAGAGACAAGCAGUAGUAGUAAGAGUUGAGUAAUGAGUGGGACCGAAAAGAUCCAUGUGAAGCAGCUCGAAGGGUCGAGUAGUAGUCAUGAUUGUCUUCGAGGGAUGCUUGGCCCUCGUCAUCUUUCCUGCUUCACAGGCACCGCAUAAGUGAUCUUUCUUGAACUUGACGCCCUCAAUGCCUAUGACAUGCUUCUUCUUUGCCAGGGUGUGGAGGUUCCUCAUGCCAGCAUGCCCAAGCCUCCGAUGCCAGAGCCAGCAUUCUGAAGCUUUUGCUAGAAGACAUACGGCAAGUUGUGGUCCUGCUGAGAAAUCUACCACGUACAGAUCGUCUUUCCGAUACCCUUCAAACACUAGAGACUUGUCAGAUUCCAUUAGAACAAGGCAACAAUAUUUUCCAAAUAUUACGAUCAUGUUCAAAUCGCAUAGCAUUGAGACAGACAUUAAGUUGAAGCCAAGGGAUUCAACAAGCAUGACUUUAUCCAUGUGUUGAUCCUUUGAGAUUGCAACUCUACCUAGACCCAAUACCUUACUUUUACCAGUGUCAGCAAAUGUGAUGUGGCUCUUGUCGGAAGGACGUAAGGUUGAGUCCAUCAGAAGGCUUCUUUUGCCAGUCAUGUGAUUUGUACACCCACUAUCAGUAAUCCAUUCUGUAUACGCUGGUGUCGUACCCUACAGUGCAGUUAGGGGGAUAGGCUUCACGAAGAGAGUUGUGAAGCAAAAACAUUUGACGAACCAGUGGGUUAUGAAAGCUUAGAUCCAGAUUAGUACUGAUAGGGAGAGUAGCAAGCGAUUCAGGAACGAAGUACAUAGUAAGACCAUUCGGCAUUUGAUCUUGCGCCCUACAAGAUGUUUAAGGUCCCCAGCGAUAGCGUCAGAAGAUUUUGGUUUUCUGCUGGAGACCUUUCCCUGCAAAAGAGAGUUAAGCCUUCUUAACAACCCACAUCUUCAAGGGUGGCUUAGAAGCGAUAAGUCUAAGUGCAGAGUCUGAAAACUUUGGCUUUGGGGCUCUAGCAAAAAGUCUUGCAGGUGGACAAUAAUACUCAUAAGAAUAAGCAGAAUAGUUUUUGGUCUUAUGAACAUGGCGGUUCGAUGAACCGCGCUCAUAUUCAUAGGCCUGAGUAUGGUUUCCCUGCAAAACAUUUGCAUUAGUCCGACUCAGGUGAGUCCUCUGUCUGUAUGAAGCCUUUGGGCCAUAUGAAGCCUGUGGUCUGGGGUUUGUCUUCUUCAUCUAUGGUGUCAUGAUGACAUUCACAGGAAGAUUUUCCAAACACCUUUUGGGCACCCAGACCUUCUUCAUAGGCGGUCCAUUCCUGCAGUUAGUACCAAUGUACCUGGCAAAAACUUCACCAUUCUGAUUCUUAAAUAGUUUAUAGUUUGCAUCAAAGGAUUCAUCAAUGACAAUGGGGUUAGCACAAGUGAAGCCAGAUAGACUGGAUGGAUUUGCUGAAGGUUCCUUUGCAGCAACCCAUGUGGUUUUGGGAUACUGCUCGGGUUUCUAGUAAGAGCCAUCAGCAUUCAUUUUCCUUAUGAACCCAACACCCUCUUUCCUCGGGUUUCGGUUCAGAAUCUGCCUUUUGAGGACAUCACAUAGUGUCUGAUGCCCUUUAAGACUUUUGUACAUCCCUGUUUCAAGCAAUGUCUUCAACCUAGCAUUCUCAUCAGCAAUCGCAGUAGUAUCCUCAGUAGAGGGGUUAGUUACCACAUCAACAGUUGAAGAUAUUGCAACAGUAGCAGUAGUAGAACAUUCAGCAACAGAAGCAGCAUUAUCACGCUCAAUGCAUUUAAGACAUGGUGGUUCAAAUCCUUCCUGAGCGGAACUGAUCUGUUCGGCGCGAAGUGACUCGUUUUCCUUUUGAAGAUCUUCAUGAGCCGCUCUCAAUUUCUCAAGAUCUUGCUUCCUUUGAAGAUAAUCAUAGGAAAGCUUUUCAUGAGUUGUUGAGAGCGUUUCAUGACAACUUUCAAGUUCCUCAUAUUUAACGUGAAGAUUUUUUAUGUCUUGAAUUAAGGAUUCAGAUCGAGUCAUUUCAACGCCCAACAAAUCAUCGCUUUUGUCUAACAGUUUUUGAAUAUGUUCCAUGGCUUUCUGUUGUUCAGUUGCAAUUUUAGCAAGUGUUUUGUAGCUGGGUCUUGAAUCACAAUCAGAGUCAUCAUCACUAGAUGUUUGAUAGUGAGUAGUGCGUGUGUUUACCUUGGCACCGUGUGCCAUGAAGCAGUAGGUAGGAGCAGAGUCGUCCUUGUCAUUUGCAUCGGCGUCGGUGGUGAAGUCAUUGUCUUCAGUGUUGAAGAUGGACUUGGCAACGUAUGCUGUAGCCAGACUUGCAACACCAGAAUCGGACUCCUCCUCAGACUCCACCUCCGCCUCCUCAGACGCGGACUCCUCCUCUGAAUCCAUUUCCUUGCCAACAAACGCACGUGCCUUGCCAGAUGAGCUCUUCUUGUGUGAUGAAGACUUUGAGGAAGACUUGGAAGAAGACUUUGAGUAUUUCUUCUUCUUCUUGUCGUCAGAGUCAUAUUCCUUGCUCUUCUUCUUCUUUCUAUUCUCAUUGUCCCACUGCGGACACUCAGAGAUGAAGUGGCUAGUUUUCUUGCACUUGUGACAUGUUUUCUUCUUGUAGUCAUGAGCAGAAGCUUCAUCAUUCCUUGAGCUUGAUCGUGAAGACUUUCUGAAGCCUUUCUUCUUGGGGAAUCUUUGGAACUUCUUUACAAGCAUAGCAAGUUCCUUUCCAAUGUCUUCAGGAUCGUCAGAACUGCUGUCAGAUUCUUCUUCAGAUGAGGAGACAACUUUUGCCUUCAGGGCACGAGUUCGCCCAUAGUUUGGACCGUAGAUAUCUCUUUUCUCAGAAAGCUGAAACUCAUGUGUGUUGAGCCUCUCAAGUAUGUCGGACGGAUCGAGUAUCUUGAAAUCAGGUCGUUCUUGAAUCAUCAGGGCUAGGGUGUCAAACAAACUGUCAAGUGAUCUCAGUAGUGUCUUGACGACUUCAUGCUUGGUGAUCUCAGUGGCGCCGAGCGCUUGAAGCUCAUUUGUGAUGUCAGUGAGUCGGUCAAAUGUGAGCUGGACAUUCUCAUUGUCAUUUCGCUUGAAGCGGUUAAAGAGGUUGCGAAGAACGCUGAUUCUCUGAUCUCUCUGGGUUGAGACGCCUUCGUUGACCUUGGAGAGCUAGUCCCAGACCAGCUUCGAUGUUUCCAAAGUGCUCACACGGCCAUACUGUCCUUUGGUCAGAUGACCACAGAUAAUGUUCUUGGCAGUAGAGUCCAGUUGAACGAACUUCUUGACAUCAGCAACAGUGACACCUUCUCCAGCCUUGGGAACGCCGUUCUUGACGACAUACCAUAGGUCGACGUCAAUGGCUUCAAGAUGCAUGCGCAUCUUAUUCUUCCAGUAGGGAUAUUCAGUUCCAUCGAAGACGGGGCACGCAACGGAGACUUUAAUUAUCCCUGCAGUCGACAUAGCUAAAACUCCAGGUGGUUAAACCGAAUCACACAGAACAAGGGAGCACCUUGCUCUCAUACCAAUUGAAAGUGCAUUAUAUCGACUAGAGGGGGUGACUAGGCGAUUUUUAUGAAAGUCUUAAAAACAUGGAAGUUUCGAAGACAAAUGAUAGAAAUAAACCUAUUACCAUGCAGCGGAAGUUAGACUACACUAGAUAAACCAUAGUCAUGUAUUCAAUGAAGUGAAAGGACAAUGACUAAUAGUAGCUAGGUAGUAAGGAUCAGGCAGGAAGAUAUUAAGAAGCCAAACGGAUCACACAGUCACUCAGUGAAGACAAAAGAUAGAGCAAACAUACAAUGACUUCACACAGAGUAACAGUAAGUAAAGAGAAGGGAAGGAUGAAACCAGUGACUCGUUGAAGACAAAUAUUUGUUGGACCAGUUCCAGUUGCUGUGACAACUGUACGUCUGGUUAGGGCGGCUAGGUAUUUAAACCAAAGGACACAUAGUCCCGGACACCCAGUCCUGAACACGCAGCUCAGGACACCCAGUCCUCACAGUAUUCCCCUUGAGCUAAGGUCACACAGACCUCGCCCAAUCACUCUGGUAAGUCUUCAAGGUAGACUCCCAAACCUUCACAGACUUCGUUCACCGGCAAUCCACAAUGUCUCUUGGAUGCUAUAACGCGACGCCUAACUGGCUGGAGGAUGCACAGUCCUCAAGUGUAAUAAGUCUUCAUAUCACUCAGACAAGAAGACUUAAGUGAUGCCUAAUUCUCUUUGGCUCUGGGUGGUUAGGGCUUUAUCCUCGCAAGGAAUUCUCUCUCAAAGGCUUCGAGGUGGGUUGCUCUCAAACGACAAAAGCCGUACUCUGAAUCCGAGCAGCCAACCGUUUAUGGUUGUAGGGGGUGGGCUAUUUAUAGCCACUAGGCAACCCGACAUGAUUUGUCCGAAAUGACCCUGGGUCACUAAGGAACUGACACGUGUUCCAACGGUCAGAUUUCAAACUCACACGGCAACUUUACUUGGGCUACAAGCAAAGCUGACUUGUCCGACUCUGGACAAGAUUUGCUCUCAUAGUCUUCACUCGAAGACAUAGGUUUUUGUUUAAGCAUCACUUCAGUCAUUCUGACUGGUUCUCUUGGACCCCACUUAACAGUGCGGUGGUUCCUAUGACUCAACACAGAAGAAAAAGAACUACGAAAGAUCUAAGUCUUCGAGCUCCAUAGGCUUCAUGCAGUGUCUUCUCUUGUCAUAGUCUUCAAUGUGAAUAUCUUCAUAUACCACCUUUGACAUCAAUGUCUUCAUACAUUUUUAGGGGUCAUCUCUGGUGGGAAAACCAAAUCAAUGAGGUACUUCUACCUGUGUUAUCCUGCAAUUCUCAUAAACACAUUAGUCCCUCAACUAGGUUUGUCGUCAAUACUCCAAAACCAACUAGGGGUGGCACUAGAUGCACUUACACAGUCGUCUCUAAAGCAUAACCCCAAAAUGAUAGCAGUAAAUUAGUAAGAGACAUCAUAGAUCGCACCAUAUCUAAUAAAGUGCGGUUACGAUGUUCGGACACACCAUUAUGUUGUGGUGUUCCGUGUGGCGUGAGUUGCGAAACUGUUCUGCAUUGUUUCAAAUGAAGACCAAACACGUAACUCAAAUAUUCACCUCCACGAUCAGAUUGUAGAAACUUUAUUUUCUUGUUACGAUAUUUUUCCUCUUCACUCUGAAUUUUUUUGAACUUUUCAAAUGUUUCAGACUUAUGUUUCAUCAAGUAGAUAUACCCAUAUCUGCUCAAAUCAUCUGUGAAGGUCAGAAAAUAACAAUACCCGCCGCGAGCCUCAACACUCAUCGGACCGCAUACAUCCGUAUGUAUUAUUUCCAACAAGUCUAUUGCUCACUCCAUUGUUCCGGAGAAUGGAGUCUUAGUCAUCUUGCCCAUGAGGCAUGGUUCGCAAGCAUCAAGUGAUUCAUAAUCAAGUGAUUCCAAAAGUCCAUCAGCAUGGAGUUUCUUCAUGCGCUUUACACCAAUAUGACCUAAACGGCAGUGCCACAAAUAAGUUGCACUAUCAUUAUUAACCUUGCAUCUUUUGGCUUCAAUAUUAUGAAUAUGUGUGUCACUAUUGUCGAGAUUCAAUAAAAAUAGAUCACUCAUCAAGGGUGCAUGACCAUAAAAGAUAUUACUCAUAUAAAUAGAACAACCAUUAUUCUCUGAUUUAAAUGAAUAUCCGUCUCGCAUCAAACAAGAUCCAGAUAUAAUGUUCAUGCUUAACGUUGGCACCAAAUAACAAUUAUUCAGGUCUAAAACUAAUCCCGAUGGUAGAUGUAGAGGUAGCAUGCUGACGGCGAUCACAUCGACUUUGGAACCAUUUCCCACGCGCAUCGUCACCUCGUCCUUAGCCAAUCUUCGCUUAAUCCGUAGCCCAUGUUUCGAGUUGCAAAUAUGAGCAACAGAACCAGUAUCAAAUACCUAGGCGCUACUACGAGCAUUAGUAAGGUACACAUUAAUAACAUGUAUAUCAAAUAUACCUUUCACUUUGCCAUCCUUCUUAUCCAUCAAAUACUUGGGGUAGUUCCGCUUCCAAUGACCAGUCCCUUUGUAGUAGAAGCAUUCAGUCUCCGGCUUAGGUCCAGACUUGGGCUUCUUCACUUGAGCAACAACUUGCUUGUCAUUCUUCUUGAAGUUCCCCUUCUUCCCUUUGCCCUUUUUCUUGAUACUGGUGGUCUUGUUGACCAUCAACACUUGAUGCUCCUUCUUGAUUUCUACCUCUACAGCCUUUAGCAUUGCGAAGAGCUCGGGAAUUGUCUUAUCCAUCCCUUGCAUAUUAUAGUUCAUCAUGAAGCUUUUGUAGCUUGGUGGCAGUGAUUGAAGAACUCUGUCAAUGACACUAUCAUCAGGAAGAUUAACUCCUAGUUGAGUCAAGUGGUUGUGGUACCUGGACAUUUUGAGUAUAUGUUCACUAACAAAACUAUUCUCCUCCAUCUUACAGCUGUAGAACUUAUUGGAGACUUCAUAUCUCUCAAUCCGGGCAUUUGCUUGAAAAUUUUACUUCGACUCCUGGAACAUCUCAUAUGCUCCAUGAUGUUCAAAACGUUGUUGAAGUCCCGAUUCUAAGCCGUAAAGCAUGGCACACUAAACUAUCGAGUAGUCAUCGGCUUUGCUCUACCAGACGUUCAUAAUGUCCGGUGUUGCUUGAUACGUCUCCGUCGUAUCUACUUUUCCAAACACUUUUGUCCUUGUUUUGGACUCUAACUUGCAUGAUUUGAAUGGAACUAACCCGGACUGACGCUGUUUUCAGCAGAAUUACCAUGGUGUUAUUUAUGUGUAGAAAUAAAAGUUCUCGGAAUGACCUGAAACUUCAGGGAACGUCUUUUUGGAAAUAAUAAAAAAUCCUUGCAAAAGAUGAAGACCAGGGGGCCCACACCCUAGCCACGAGGGUGGGGGCGCGCCUGCCCCCCUAGGCGCGACCCCUACCUUGUGGGCCCCCUGGAGCUCCUCCGACCUCAACUCCAACUCUAUAUAUUUGCUUUCAGGGAGAAAAAAAUUAGAGAGAAGGAUUCAUCGCGUUUUACAAUACAGAGCCGCCGCCAAGCCCUAAAACCUCUCAGGAGGGCUGAUCUGGAGUCCGUUCGGGGCUCCGGAGAGGGGAAUCCGUCGCCAUCGUCAUCAUCAACCUUCCUCCAUCACCAAUUUCAUGAUGCUCACCGCCGUGCGUGAGUAAUUCCAUCAUAGGCUUGCUGGACGGUGAUGGGUUGGAUGAUAUUUAUCAUGUAAUCGAGUUAGUUUUGUUAGGGUUUGAUCCCUAGUAUCCACUAUGUUGUGAGAUUGAUGUUGCUAUGACUUUGCUAUGCUUAAUGCUUGUCACUAGGGCCCGAGUGCCAUGAUUUCAGAUCUGAACCUAUUAUGUUUUCAUCAAUAUAUGAGUGUUCUUGAUCCUAUCUUGCAAGUCUAUAGUCACCUACUAUGUGUUAUGAUCUGGCAACCCCGAGGUGACAAUAAUAGGGACCACUCCCGGUGAUGACCGUAGUUUGAGGAGUUCAUGUAUUCAUUAUGUGUUAAUGCUUUGGUCUGGUACUCUAUUAAAAGGAGGCCUUAAUAUCCCUUAGUUUCCGCUAGGACCCCGCUGCCACGGGAGGGUAGGACAAAAGAUGUCAUGCAAGUUCUUUUCCAUAAGCACGUAUGACUAUAUUCGAAAUACAUGCCUACAUUACAUUGAUGAAUUGGAGCUAGUUUUGUGUCACCCUAGGUUAUGACUGUUACAUGAUGAACCGCAUCCGGCGUAAUUCUCUAUCACCGAUCCAUUGCCUACGAGCUUUCCAUAUAUUGUUCUUCACUUAUUUACUUUUCCGUUGCUAUUGCUAUCAUCACUACAAAAUACCAAAAACAUUAAUUUUGCUAUCGUUACCUUUUGCUACCGUUACCACUACUAUCAUAUUACGUUGCUACUAAACACUUUACUACAGAUAUUAAGUUUCUAGGUGUGGUUGAAUUGACAACUCAACUUUCAACUGCUAAUACUUGAUAAUAUUCUUUGGCUCCCCUUGUGUCGAAUCAAUAAAUUUGGGUUGAAUACUCUACCCUCGAAAACUGUUGCGAUCCCCUAUACUUGUGGGUUAUCAAGACUAUUUUCUGGCGUCGUUGCCGGGGAGCAUAGCUCUAUUCUUUGAGUCACUUGGGAUUUAUAUCUGUUUAUCAUUAUGAAGAACUUGAGAGAUCCAAAAACCAAGAUUUAUCUCUCAACUACGAGGGGAGGUAAGGAACUGCCAUCUAGCUCUGCACUUGAUUCACCUUCUAUUUUGAGUAAGCUUGCGACACCUAAACCUGCUUCUGCUAUUCAUUCUGAUAUGUCGCAUGUUAUUAAUGAUGCCACUUGUGCUAUGCAUGAUACUUAUGAUGAAACUACUUCUAUGCUUGAUACUACUGUGCCACUUGGUGAAUUUCUUGAUGAACAACUUGCUAGGGUUAGAGAGAAUGAAAUUAUUGAAACUGAUAAUAUAUAUAUAUAUAUUUGAAUAUAUACUGUAGGGUAAAACCCCCACAGCCCUUUAUUGCAGUCUCAAAAAACAAACUGUACAGUGAAAGAAAGAGAUGACAAGCCUAAACGAAAAGUUAAGAAGAACUUACAAUUACAUGAGGGAGUUAACUCAAUCUACAAGCCUAGACUUAGAGCUAUCCUUAAACCUAUGUGACAGGAGAAGAAUGUCAUGUACAAAACUGCCCCUCCAGGCAACAAAAGUAGCCCGUAGUCCCCUGAAAGUUCUUCCAUUUCUCAGAAUCCAUAUAUUCCAAGCAGCUGUGAGCAUAACUUCAAAGAAGAAAGGAUACCCAAAUCGCUGCCUUGCUUGAGAUAUACAUUGCUGAAUAGAAGAACCAUGUGACCAAUCGAUCUGCAGGUAUUUCCAAACCCUGGCACUGAAAUUACAACCAAAGAAUAGGUGAGCCCUGUCCUCCCAAACAAAGGCAUUACAGAUGACACAUAGAUGAUCAGCCGUAGGGGACCUCCGGUGGCUGCGGACCAGCACGUCCUUUGUGUUGAGUCUGUCAAAGAAUAGGAGCCAGCCAAAAACCUUAAUUUUCAUAGUACAUAUGCUCUGCCAAAGCCACCUGCAGGGUUUAAUAGUUGGGAGGUGUGUAUGCAUGAUGUCAUAGAAGCUCUUUGCAGAAAACUGUCCAGAUUUACCAGGCCAAAUCCAAACAUCAGGCAAUGUUGGAUCUCUCUGGAGAUUGAACAUCCUUCCUUCCAAGGAUUCCAAUUCUGCUGCUGCCUGCUGAGAAAUUGGCAGAUGAAACAUUGAGAACAAAUCCUGGGUUUGCAAAAACUCCCUGACAGAAACCUUAUCAUCCAAAACAAAAGAGAAAAGCCUUGGUAAUCUGAGGCUUAGUGGCCUUGAAGAGCCACCUACAUGGCAAGCAUCCAGCCAAAAGAGAGCAGAAUCACCCAUAUUAACUGGCACUGAAGCAAUUGACCUAUAAGUGUCAGCAAGCUUGAGAAUGUCCUUCCACCAAAAGGAGCCAGUUAGGACUGUUGCAUGGGGCACCACUCCAUCAUAAUAACUAUCCCAAAUCAACUGGACCCAAGGAAUCUGCUGUUUGUUGUAGAACUUAUGCAUUUGUUUGAGAAGCAGACCUUGAUUUUGAACAUUGAGGUUGAGAAUGCCAAGUCCUCCCUUAUCCUUUGGUCUGCAAACUAAAUCACAGGCAGCUAGGGAUUGCUUAGGCACAUCAGAAUUUCCUCUCCACAAACACUGCCUGAAAAUCCUAUCCAACUGUUUGAUAAUACCAGGUGGGAUAUGCAAGCUGCAGAGGAAGUAUAUGGGCAUUGAAGUAAGCACAGAUGUGAGAAAUUGUAACCUGGAUCCUUGGUUGAGCAUGGCAGAGCUAACAGACAGUCUUCUUUCAAGACUAUCCACUAAAGGCAUGAAAUCAAUGAUUCUAGGUCUUGUUGUACCAAGAGGCAAACCCAGAUAUGUGAAAGGUAACUGCUCCGGUUUACAUCCCAGGAUGGAAGACAACCUCUGUGCCUCUGUGGGAUCAACAUUUAGUGGCACCAUUGAAGACUUUCCAAAAUUUACCUUUAGGCCAGUAGACUGUUGGAAAAUAUGGAGCAUGUUCUUGAGAGCCACCAACUGGUCCUGUACUGCAGAAAGGAUAAUUAUUGUGUCAUCUGCAUACUGAAUGAUAGGAAAUUCAGGGUCCUAAGAUGGGAUUGGAAGUGUUAGAACUCCCUUAGCCAGCAUGUUAUUGACCAUUGUUUGAAGAAGAUCGGCAGCUAUGACAAAUAAAAGAGGGGAUAGGGGAUCCCCCUGCCUGACCCCACAUUUAUAUUUGAACUGUUUGCCAGGCACCCCAUUAAGCAAAACAGAUGAUGAUCCUGAGGAGAGAAUCUCUUUAAUCCAAGAAAUCCAUUUGGCAUCAAAACCUUUGUGCUGUAGAACUUGCAAGAUGAAGUCAUGCUCCACAGUGUCAAAAGCUUUGGCAAAAUCCAAUUUCAAAAUGAUGGUUGGCCUUUUGGAUUGAUUGCAUUGAUGUAUAUAUUCAAAAGCCCAAGCCAGGCAGUCCUGAAUGGCUCUGCUCUUCAAAAACCCAUAUUGAUUCUUAUGGAUGCAUUGCAGAAUGACCUUUUGAAGCCUAUUUCCCAAAAGCUUAGUAAGGAACUUGAGGCAUGUGUUAGUAAGAGAGAUUGGUCUAAAAUCCUCAAGUCCUUCAGGAGACAACAUCUUUGGAAUUAAGGUGAUAAGGGAUCCAUUAAUAUUUUCCAAAGAUAGCCUCCCAUCAUAAAACCCCUGAAUGAGAGCCAAGAAAUCCUUCUCAAUGAUGGGCCAACACUUCUUAACAAAAAGACCAUUAAAACCGUGAAAGUGAUGAUGAAGAUUCUCCCCCUAAUAAAUAUGAAUUGCCUGUUGUGCCUGAGGGCUAUGUUAUGGAUGAAGAAAUUGCUAAAGCUAUUUUUGUUUGCAAAGAUAGAUAUGAUCUUAAGAAGUUAUUAGCUAAAUGGAAGCAGCAAUCUCUUAAUGCUAGAAUGAAACCUGACCCUGCUUUUGCUACUUCACCUAUCUGUGUUACUGAUAAGGAUUAUGAAUUCUCUGUUGAUCCUGAUAUAAUUACUUUGGUUGAAUCUGAUCCUUUUCAUGGCUAUGAGUCUAAAACUGUUGUGGCACAUCUUACUAAAUUAAAUGAUAUAGCCACCCUAUUCACUAAUGAUGAGAGAACUCGUUACUUUUAUAUCCUUAAAAUAUUCCUGUUCUCAUUAAAGGGUGAUGCUAAGAUAUGGUUUAAUUCUCUUGAUCCUGGUUGUGUGCGUAGUCCCCAGGAUAUGAUUUAUUACUUCUCUGCUAAAUAUUUCACUGCUCAUAAGAAACAAGCUGCUUUGAGGGAUAUAUAUAAUUUUGUGCAAAUUGAAGAAGAGAGUCUCCCACAAGCUUGGGGGAGGCUUCUCCAAUUACUUAAUGCUUUGCCUGAUCAUCCUCUUAAGAAAAAUGAAAUAUUGGAUAUAUUUUAUAAUGGACUAAGUGAUGCUUCCAGAGAUUACCUGGAUAGUUGUGUUGGUUCUGUUUUCAAGGAAAGAACACCGGAUGAAGCUGAAAUUCUAUUGAAUAAUAUGUUGACAAAAGAAAAUAAUUGGACACUUCCUGAGCCAGCUCCUGAGCCUAUUCCUAAACCAACUCCGAAGAAGAGGGGUAUUCUAUUUCUCAGUCCUGAAGAUAUGCAAGAGGCAAAGAAAUCCAUGAAAGAAAAGGGUAUUAAAGCUGAAGAUGUUAAGAAUUUACCUCCUAUUGAAGAAAUACACGGUCUUAAUUUACCGCCUGUUGAAGAAACAUAUGAUCUUAAUCCAUUACCUAUUGAAGAAAUACAUGGUCUUGAUAACCCGACACAAGUAGUAAAGGUAAACUCUCUCUAUAGAUAUGAUAAAAUUGAAAUCCCUCUUACUAAGUUUGCUAGCCAAUGCUUAGAUGAGUUUGAUAAUUUUAUGGUGAAGCAAGAAGAUUUUAAUUCUUAUUUUGGUAGACAAUUGAAAUACAAUUCAAAUAUGCUUGAACACUUGGGUGAUUAUAUGGCUAAUGUUAAAGGUGAAAUUAAACUUAUUAGCAAACAUGCUUCUAUGGUUACCACUCAAGUAGAACAAGUACUUAAAGCUCAAAAUGAUUUGCUCAAUGAACUGAAUAGUAAGAAUAAUGAUAAUGCUGUUAGAGUUAUGACUAGAGGUGGUAAAAUGACUCAAGAACCUUUGUAUCCUGAAGGCCAUCAUAAGAGAAUUGAGCAAGAUUCUCGGAGAAAUAAUAUAGAUGCACCUAGUUCUUCUAAAAGGAAGAAAAAGAAAAAUGAUAGGACUUUGCAUGCUUCUAGUGAACCUAUUGAUGAAACACCUGAGAAUCCAAAUGAUAUUUCUAUUUCUGAUGCUGAAACACAAUCUGGUAAUGAACCUGAAACUAGUGAUAAUAUUAAUGAUAAUGUUCAUGUUGAUGCUCAACCUAGCAAUGAUAAUGAUAUAGAAAUUGAACCUGUUGUUGAUCUUGAUAACCCACAAUCAAAGAAUCAACGUUAUGAUAAGAGAGACUUUGUUGCUAGGAAACAUGGUAAGGAAAGAGAGCCUUGGGUUCAGAAACCCAUGCCUUUUCCUCCCAAACCAUCCAAGAAAAAGGAUGAUGAGGAUUUUGAGCACUUUGCUGAAAUGAUUAGACCUACCUUUUUGCGUAUGCGAUUAACUGAUAUGCUUAAAAUGAAUCCUUAUGCUAAGUACAUGAAAGAAAUUGUUACUAAUAAAAGAAAGAUACCGGAAGCUGAAAUUUCCACCAUGCUUGCUAAUUAUACUUUUAAAGGUGGAAUACCUAAGAAACUAGGAGAUCCCGGAGUACCAACUAUACCAUGCUCCAUUAAAAGAAAUUAUGUUAAAAUUGCUUUAUGUGAUCUUGGAGUCGGUGUUAGUGUUAUGCCUCUCUCUUUAUAUCAUAGACUUGAUUUGAAUAAGUUGACACCUACUAAAAUAUCUUUGCAAAUGGCUGAUAAAUCAACUGCUAUACCUAUCGGUAUUUGUGAGGAUGUGCCUGCUGUGGUUGCAAACGUUACUAUUUUAAUGGACUUUGUUAUUCUUGAUAUUCCCGAGGACGAUAGUAUGUCUAUUAUUCUUGGAAGACCCUUUUUGAAUACUGCAGGGGCUGUUAUUGAUUGCAACAAAGGCAAUGUCACUUUUCAUGUUAAUGGUAAUGAGCAUACGGUACACUUUCCGAGGAAACAACCUCAAGUCCACAGUAUCAAUUCUAUUGGAAAAAUUCAAUCGAUUAUUUUUGAAGGUUUUGAAUUUCCUCUUCCUACUGUCAAAAGAAAUAUGAUAUUCUUAUUAUUGGGGAUGUGCAUAUCCCCGUUGAGGUAACAUAGUGUUAUUCGAAAUUCCUCCGGUUCCAUGUUAUUCGGAAUGAGUUUGCUAACAAGACUUGAUCAACCAUGUUAACGGAUUCCUUUUGAUGAGCAUGAGAUGGAUGAAACUAGAAGGCACAACUCUCCGUACCCUCCUUUUACUUUCUGUUAUUUAUAUUAAAUAAAAUUAAAAGAAGUAUUUUCCGUCUGUUAUCUGAUUUAUCCGUGCAAUAUAAAAUACCCCGAAAAUAAAAGUUCUCCAAAUGCCUUGAAAUUUAAAUAUGAUUUUUUCUGGAAUAUUUGAGAAUAUUUGGCACUAAGAACACAACACAGGGGGCAUCCACCUGGCCACGAGAGUGGAGGGCGCGCCCUACCCCCCCUGUGCGUGCCCCUUGCCUCGUGGGCCCACGGUGGCCCUCCUCCACUUAUUCCUGCACCCACACACUCCUUCCUCCCAUAAACACGAUUAUCCAGUUCGAACCCAAGUCCAAGCUCAUUUUGCUGCUAUUUUCGAUCUCCUUGCUCAAAGCACCUCUCACAAAACUGCUUGGGGGGAUUGUUCCUUGGUAUGCGACUCCUCCAUUGGUCCAAUUAGUUUUUGUUCUAGUGCUUUAUUCAUUGCAAAUUUAUGUUGUCUAGGUGCCCAUGUUCCUGAGCUUGCAUGUCAAAUUUAUGUGGUUCCAACUAGUUUUGAUGCAUGAUAUAGGCUCUAGGCACUUGUAGGAGUUGUUGCUAUCAAUUUUGUUGAGCUUGGCUCACUUUUAUUUGAAGUUACUAAAAAUUUCAGAAUUUUUCAGAAAAUAAUGAAGAGAUUUUUGAGGGGCUCAUCAAGCCGAAGCUCGAAGGAAAAGCAAAAUGAAAAAGCAGAGAGGCCCGAAUAUAAUCUGCCUCGCACCGCAGAGGUUCGGCCGUGUGAAUGGCCUUCCAAUGAUUUCUUGAGAGCAGUCGGGAUUUAUGAUGAUUUUUAUGAAUUGGCUGAGAAUGUAGGCCUCACCGCCUUCCUCCAUGACCAACGCGAACAAUAUCUCUUACUCACCAAUAUCUUUGUGCAAAACUUUCAUUUCCAUGCUAGGAGCUCACCACCUACGGUGGAGUUUUAUUUGUAUGAUGAGCACAAGGAGAUGUCACUUUACGAUUUCUGUCGGGUUUGAUUGAUCCCUUUCGAGGGCACAAUAGAGGAACCACACCGCGGUGAUGUGGAUGGGUUUAUAGAUACCAUCACUGUAGGGGAAACGAGGAAGGUUUCCGAUGCACGAAUCACUAGCAUACAUUUUCCUGUUUUACGCUACUUUGCAAUAUUUGCUAGUCGUUGCUUAAUUGGUCGCGAAAACUGUGGAAACCUUAGUGUUCCUGAUAUUAUUAUUUUGUUCCACGGUUUAUUCUGUGAUAAAUCUGUUAGUAUGGGCGGUAUUAUUGCUAAACGGUUAAGUCUCAACUGUACAAAGGGCCCCAUCUUUGGAGGCAUCUAUGCUUCACGCCUAACUGCGCAUUUUAACAUACCUAUUAAGCAUUAUGAGAAGGAAGAAAAAUUGCUGCCCCUGUUUAUUUAGAUUAUAAGAGUAUGGUGGCACACGAUUUUAUUGUUAAGAAUAGGAAAGGGGAGCUUAAAUACAAAUUGUUCUUUGAUAAACAUCAUCCUGAGACUAUUACCCUGCCUACUCCUUCCUUGUUUGAUUUAUCUCCAGGCAAGUACCUUGUUCCGUUAGAGGCUAUUCACGCCUACCGGAACAUUGCAUCAGCCACAGAGCCAGAGUCGGAACCACUAGUUGAUCCUCCACGACAGUCUAAUUACCAUUGGGAUCCAGAAAUGAUAGCCACCAGUGGAAAUCAGAGUCUUCUUCGCAGUACGACCCCAACUAUUACUAUGGAUAUCCGCCAGGCCAGCCGUGGCCAUAGACCAACUUAGGUCAAAAGCCUAAACUUGGGGGAGUACGUAUUUCCCGCCGACAUUACAUUCAUGUUCGCACACUCAUUGCUAGAUGUCGGUGCUCAUACUUUUUCAUUGUAUCAUCCAUGCUAGUUCAUUUCCUUUUUAAGCUUUCUUCUUGUGUGUUUAAUAAACCUUAAGAAAAACCAAAAAAACUAGUUGUAGCUUUUAGCUAGUUUUAAUUUCCAUGCUUGUAGUAGUAAUUAAAAAGAAAACCCAAAAAAAGAUUUCUUGUUCUUGUUUUGCUCGUUGGGAGCUUUCCCGUGUAAAUAGUUUUAUUUCUUUUCUUUGGGGGUCGAUAGGAGAAUACCAUGAUUAAAUUGUUGAAGUGGCUCUUAUAUAUAUUUUUUAUCUGACAAAAGAGCCCAUAUUGCCUUGUCUUCUCCAGUUUAUUGAAUGCUUGCAGAUUCCAGCUUAGUCCAAUGCACGCGCACUAUUAUUAUUAUCCACAUCGUUCGGUCGUGCAAGUGAAAGGCAAUUAUGACAAUAUAUGAUGGACUGACUGAGAUGAGAAAAGCUGGUAUAAACUCAACCUCUCUUGUUUUUGUAAAUAUGAUUAGUUCAUCGUUCCUGAUUCAGCCUAUUAUGAAUAAACAUGUUUGCAAUGACAACUAGAGAUCAUAGUUUCUUGUGCCAUGCUUGAUUAGCUAGGAGCUUAUAAUGGUUUACCUUGCGUGCCAACAUGCUAUUAAAAUGGUUGUGAUGUGGUAUGAUAGGGUGGUAUCCUCCUCUGAAUGAUUUGAGUGGCUUGACUUGGCACAUGCUCACGCAUGUAGUUGAAAUAAAAUCAACAUAUCCUCUACGAUAUUUAUGUUCAUGGGGAAUUAUAUCCUACUCAUGCUUGCAUUUGGUGUUGAUUAAUUUUAAUGCAUGUUUAUGAGUGUUGUCGCUCUCUAGCUGGUUGCUUCCCAGUCUUUUGCUAGCCUUCACCUGUACUAAGCGGGAAUACUGCUUGUGCAUCCAAUCCCAUAAACCCCAAAGUUAUUCCAUAUGAGUCCACCAUACCUACCUAUUUACGGUAUCUACCUGCCGUUCCAAGUAAAUUUGUAUGUGCCAAACUCUAAACCUUCAAAUAAAUAUCAUGUUUUGUAUGCUCGAAUAGCUCAUGUAUCAACUAGGGCUGUCUGUAUCUUCCAUGUUAGGCGGGUUAUUCUCAAGAGGAGUGGACUCCGCUCCUCACUCACGAGAAAAUGGCUGGUCACCGGGAUGCCCAGUCCCAUGCUUUAUGCAAAUCAAAUCAAAAUAAUUGCAAACAAAACUCUCCCUAGGACUCUUGUUAGUUGGAGGCACUCGUUGUUUUGAGCAAGCCAUGGAUUGAUGCUUGUUAGUGGAAGGGGAGUAUAAACUUUACCAUUCUGUUUGGGAACCGCCUAUAAUGUGUGUAGCAUAGAAUAUAUCGCCCUCUCUUGGUUGUUAUGUUGACAAUGAAAGUAUACUGCUCAAAAUAUUAUUCACCUCUAUUUCAAAACCGAGCUCUGGCACCUCUACAAAUCCCUGCUUCCCUCUGCGAAGGGCCUAUCUAUUUACUUUUAUGUUGACUCAUCAUCCUCUUAUUAAAAAUCACAAGUUGGAGAGCACCGCUGUCAUUUGCAUUCAUUACUGUUAGUUUACAUUGAGUAUGACUGGACUGGAUCUCUUUUACCAUGAAUUACAAUGUCUAGUCAGUCCUUGAUCUUUAAAGGUGCUCUGCAUUUAUGUUUUGCGGUCUCAGAAAGGGCUAGCGAGAUACCAUCUUGUUAUAUCAUAUCAUGAUUGUUUUGAGAAAGUGUUGUCAUCUGAGAUUUAUUAUAUUGCUCGCUAGUUGAUUAUGCCAUUGAUAUGAGUAAACAUGAGACCUAAAUGUUAUUGUGAAUAUGGUUAGUUCAUAAUCUUUGCUGAAAACUUGAAUGCUGGCUCUACAUAUUUACAACAACAAGAGCAAACAGAGUUUGUAAAAGUUUUUCUUUAUCACUUUCAGCUUAUCAACUGAACUGCUUGAGGACAAGCAAAGGUUUAAGCUUUGGGCAGUUGAUACGUCUUCGUCGUAUCUACUUUUCCAAACACUUUUGCCCUUGUUUUGGACUCUAACUUGCAUGAUUUGAAUGGAACUAGCCCGGACUUACGCUGUUUUCAGCAGAAUUGCCAUGGUGUUAUUUUUGUGCAGAUAUAAAAGUUCUCGGAAUGACCCGAAAAUCAACGGAGAAUUAUUUUGGAAUACAUAAAUAAUACUGGAAGGAAGAUCCACGUCAGGGGGGCCUCCACCUGUCCACGAGGGUGGGGGCGCGCCCUACCCCCCUGGUGCUACCUCUUGAGCACUGCGUUGGUUUUCCCUUGAAGAGGAAAGGGUGAUGCAGUAAAGUAGCGUAAGUAUUCCCCUCAGUUUUUGAGAACCAAGGUAUCAAUCCAGUAGGAGAUCACGCUCGAGUCCCACGCACCUACACAACCAAAUAAGAACCUCGCAACCAACGCGAUAAAGGGGUUGUCAAUCCCUUCACGGUCACUUACGAGAGUGAGAUCUGAUAGAUAUGGUAAGAUAAUAUUUUGGUAUUUUUAUGAUAAAGAGAAAUAAAGAUGCAAAGAAAAAUAAACGGCAAUAGAAAUAACUAAGUAUCACCUGGGCGCACCCCCUGCCUCGUGGGCCCCCUGACGCUCCACCAACCUCAACCCUGACUUCAUAUAUUCACUUUCGGGGAGAAAAAACCAGAGAGAAAGAUUCAUCACAUUUUACGAUACGGAGCCGCCGCCAAGCCCUAAACUCUCUCGGGAGGGCUGAUCUGGAGUCCGUUCGGGGCUCCGAAGAGGGGAAUCCAUCGCCAUCAUCAUCAUCAACCUUCCUCCAUCACCAAUUUCAUGAUGCUCACCGUCGUGCGUGCAUAAUUCCAUCGUAGGCUUGCUGGACGGUGAUGGGUUGGAUGAGAUUUAUCAUGUAAUCGAGUUAGUUUUGUUAGGGUUUGAUCCCUAGUAUCCACUAUGUUCUGAGAUUGAUGUUGCUAUGACUUUGCUAUGCUUAAUGCUUGUCACUAGGGCCCGAGUGCCAUGAUUUCAGAUCUGAACCUAUUAUGUUAUCAUCAAUAUAUGAGCGUUCUUGAUCCUAUCUUGCAAGUCUAUAGUCACCUACUAUGUGUUAUGAUCCGGCAACCCCGAAGUGACAAUAAUCGGGACCACUCCUGGUGAUGACCGUAGUUUGAGGAGUUCAUGUAUUCACUAUGUGUUAAUGCUUUGGUCCGGUACUCUAUUAAAAGGAGGCCUUAAUAUCCCUUAGUUUCUGCUAGGACCCCGCUUCCACGGGAGGGUAGGACAAAAGAUGUCAUGCAAGUUCUUUUCCAUAAGCACGUAUGACUAUAUUCGGAAUACAUGCCUACAUUACAUUAAUGAAUUGGAGCUAGUUCUAUGUCACCCUAGGUUAUGAUUGUUACAUGAUGAACCGCAUCCGACAUAAUUCUCUAUCACUGAUCCAUUGCCUACGAGCUUUCCAUAUAUUGUUCUUCGCUUAUUUACUUUUCCAUUGCUAUUGCUAUCAUCACUACAAAAUACCAAAAACAUUACUUUUGCUAUCGUUACCUUUUGCUGCCGUUACCACUACUAUCAUAUUACUUUGCUACUAAACACUUUGCUGCAGAUAUUAAGUUUCCAGGUGUGGUUGAAUUGACAAGUCAGCUGCUAAUAGUUGAGAAUAUUCUUUGGCUCCCCUUGUGUUGAAUCAAUAAAUUUGGGUUGAAUACUCUACCCUUGAAAACUGUUGCGAUCCCCUAUACUUGUGGGUUAUCAUUGCUCCUGCAGCGGGUCUUGCACAUAGCGGUGCUUCCAGGACGUAAUUCUUCUGUGUAGCAAUGAGGAUAAUCCUCAAGUUACGGACCUAGUCCAUGUAGUUGCUACCAUCAUCUUUCAACUUAGGUUUCUCUACGAACGCAUUAAAAUUCAAAGGGACAUUAGCACGGGCCAUUGAUCUACAACAACAUAGACAUGCAAACUACUAUCAGGUGCUAAGUUCAUGAUAAAUUAAAGUUCAAUUAAUCAUAUUACUUAAGAACUCCCACUUAGAUAGACAUCCCUCUAGUCAUCUAAAUGAUCACGUGAUCCAUAUCAACUAAACCAUGUCCGAUCAUCUCGUGAGAUGGAGUAGUUUCAAUGGUGAACAUCACUAUGUUGAUCAUAUCUACUAUAUGAUUCACGCUCGACCUUUCGGUCUCAGUGUUCCGAGGCCAUAUCUGCAUAUGCUAGGCUCGUCAAGUUUAACCCGAGUAUUCUGCGUGUGCAAAACUGGCUUGCACCCGUUGUAUGUGAACGUAGAGCUUAUCACACCCGGUUAUCACGUGGUGUCUCGGCACGACGAACUAUAGCAAUGGUGCAUACUCAGAGAGAACACUUGUACCUUGAAAUUUAGUGAGAGAUCAUCUUAUAAUGCUACCGCCGUACUAAGCAAAAUAAGAUGCAUAAAGGAUAAACAUCACAUGCAAUCAAAAUAAGUGAUAUGAUAUGGCCAUCAUCAUCUUGUGCCUUUGAUCUCCAUCUCCAAAGAACCGUUAUGAUCACCAUCAUCACCGGCUUGACACCUUGAUCUCCAUCGUAGCAUCGUUGUCAUCUCGCCAACUAUUGCUUCUACGACUAUCGCUACCACUUAGUGAUAACGUAAAGCAAUUACAUGGCGAUUGCAUUUCAUACAAUAAAGCGACAACCAUAAGGCUCCUGCCAGUUGCCGAUAACUUUUACAAAACAUGAUCAUCUCAUACAACAACUUAUAUAUCAUCACGCAAAAACAAGUUAGACGUCCUCUACUUUGUUGUUGCAAGUUUUACGUGGCUGCUACAGGCUUCUAGCAAGAACCGUUCUUAUCUACGCAUCAAAACCACAAUGAUUUUUCAUCAAGUGUGUUGUUUUAACCUUCAACAAGGACCGGGCGUAGUCAAACUCGAUUCAACUAAAGUUGGAGAAACAGACACCCAGUAGCCACCUGUGUGUGAAGCACCUCGAUGGAACCAGUCUCAUGAACGCGGUCAUGUAAUGUCGGCCUGAGCUGCUUCAUCCAACAAUACCGCCAAAUCAAAGUAAGACGUUGCUGGUAAGAAGUAUGACUAUUAUCGUCCACAACUCAUUGUGUUCUACUCGUGCAUAUAACAUCUACGCAUAGACCUGGCUCGGAUGUCAUUGUUGGGGAACGUAGUAUUUCAAAAAAAAUCAUACGAUCACGCAAGAUAUAUCUAGGAGAAGCAUAGCAAUGAGCGGGGAGAGUGUGUUCACGUACCCUCGUAGACCGAAAGCGGAAGCGUUUAGUAACACGGUUGAUGUAGUCGAACGUCUUUGCGAUCCAAUCGAUCCAAACACCAAACGUACGACACCUCCGCGUUCAGCACACGUUCAGCUUGAUGACAUCCCUCGAGCUCUUGAUCCAGUUGAGGCCGAGGGAUAGUUCCGUCAGCACGAUGGCGUGGCGACGGUGAUGAUGAAGUUACCGGCGCAGGGCUUCGCCUAAGAACUACGACGAUAUGACCGAGGUGUGUAACUGUGGAGGGGGGCAACGCCCACGGCUAAGAGAAACUUGUGUCUUUGGGGUGCCCCCCUCCCACGUAUAUAAAUGGGGGGAGGAGGCCGGCCCAAAGGGGGGCGCGCCACAUGUUGGGGGUCCUACUAGGACUCCCUAGUCCUAGUAGGAUUCCCCUCUCCUUUCCUUUUACGGAAGGGGGAAAGGGGGGAAGGAGAGGAGGGGAAGAGGGAAAGGGGGCACGCCCCCUCCCCUUCCUAUUCGGACUCCACUUGGGGGGACGCGCACGCCUCCCCCUUGUGGGUUGUACCCUCUUCUCUCCCAUGGCCCAUAAGGCCCAUGAUUUCCCCCGGGGGGUUCCGGUAACCUCCCGGUACUCCAGAAAAAUGCUCGAAUCACUCGGAAUCAUUCUGAUGUUUGAAUGCAACCUUCCAAUAUAUGAAUCUUUACCUCUCGACCAUUUCUGUGAUCUCAUCCGGGACUCCGGACAAACUUCAGUCAUCAAAUCACAUAACUCAUAAUACAAAUUGGCACGAACGUUAAGCAUGCGGACCCUAUGGGUUUGAGAACUAUGUAGACAUGACUGAGACACAUCUCCGGUCAUUAACCAAUAGCGGAACCUGGAUGCUCAUAUUGGCUCCUACAUAUUCUACGAAGAUCUUUAUCGGUCAAACCGCAUAACAACAUACGUAGUUCCCUUUGUCAUAUGUAUGUUAUUUGCCCGAGAUCCGAUCGUCGGUAUCCCCAUACCUAGUUCAAUCUCGUUACCGUCAAGUAUCUUUACUUGUUCCGUAAUGCAUCAUCAUGUAACUAACUCAUUAGUCACAUUGCUUGCAAGGCUUAUAGUGAUGUGCAUUACCGAGAGGGCUUAGAGAUACCUCUCUGAUACACGAAGUGGCAAAUCCUAAUCUCGAUCUAUGCCAACUCAACAAACACCAUCAGAGACACCUGUAGAGCAUCUUUAUAAUCACCCAGUUACAUUGUGACGUUUGAUAGCACACUAAGUGUUCCUCCGGUAUUCGGGAGUUGCAUAAUCUCAUAGUCAUAGGAACAUGUAUAAGUCAUAAAGAAAGCAAUAGCAAUAAAAUUAAACGAUCAUUAUGCUAAGAUAACGGAUGGGUCUUGUCCAUCACAUCAUUCUCUAAUGAUGUGAUCCCGUUCAUCAAAUGACAACACAUGUCUAUGGUUAGGAAACUUAACCAUCUUUGAUUAACGAGCUAGUCUAGUAGAGGCAUACUAGGGACACUCUGUUUGUCUAUGUAUUCACACAUGUACUAAGUUUCUGGUUAAUACAAUUCUAGCAUGAAUAACAAAGAUUUAUCAUGAUAUAAGGAAAUAUAAAUAACAACUUUAUUAUUGCCUCUAGGGCAUAUUUCCUUCAGGAAGAGCAUCGCGGGUGGGAGGGAGAAGGGGAAUUAAGAGAGUGUGGGUUUGGGUUUGGGCCUCCGCGUGCUAUGUGUACACAUGUGUUGGUGGGUCGAUAGUAGUGGUCCUGGGUUUAUACCCCACGCUACUACUAUGGCCUAUCCCGGGGGUACGGUAGAGACCGCUUAGUAGUAGCGAGGGAUUUAUACCCCUCACUACUACUAUCAACUUAGUAGUAGUGAGGGAUUUAUACCCCUCGCUACUACUAUCAACUUAGUAGUAGUGAGGGAUUUAUACCCCUCGAUACUACUAUGGCCAGUCCCGGGGGGCACGGUGGAGACCACUUAGUAGUAGUGUGGGGUUUAUACCCCUCGCUACUACUAUCAACUUAGUAGUAGUGUGGGUUCUAUACCCCUCGCUACCAAUAAUUAGCAGCAGUGUGGCCCAUAUACCCCUCGCUACGGUUAAGCAUCUAUCUAUAAAGUAUUUUCUAGUAGUGCAUCGAUGGCGGCGAAAUCAGUCGUUCUGCUUGUUUUCCCUACUAGCUCUCUGACGUCCAGAACAAGUUUACGGUCAUAAGGUGCAAUAACCUUGCCUUCAUGAGUGACACGAUGACACGGGAACAGGCUUCCAAGCCUAUGGUGUCGCAUCAUGUCGUGGUCUGCUAGACUUAGUGGACGAAUGCUACUACAAUAUCGGUUGAUCUCAUACUACAAUACCAAGGAAGACACGCAACUACUAUAUAUAUUUCUUCAAGUCAGUCAACACAAGUAAAAUCUGGGAGUUCAACUGGUGCAGCUAUGCAAUGCUAAUGGAGACAACACAAUUCAACUUUAGCACUUCACACAUAAGCAACACCACGUUCAAUGGCACACACCUUAGAGUGUACCUAUGGUGGUUGAUUGGGCUAUAAGAAAUGUGAGUCCAUGUGAAGAUGCCAAAUAUAAUAACACGGCUAAUUACACAUGCAGUGGCAGCAGCAACAAGUGCAUGAAUUCCACAAAUGAUCUAGGGUACACAUGCAACUGUGUCCUUGAGUAUGACAACAACCCUUAUCUUCUAGACAAAUGCAUGGUAUGCUACUAAUUUAUUUGCUAAAUAUUCCAAUGAAUUGUGUCCUUUACUUUGUACAUACCCAAUUAUAAUAUUUUAUUUUGCUAAUACAAUGUAGCCUUCAAUUUAAACCAAGGUUUGCAUCCAUUAAUUAUGUUAGGUUCAUAUGACUUCACUACAUAAAUAGGUAGAUAAUGCAUAAGACUGAGAUUGUAGCUAGGGAUGAAAAUCUAAAUACGGCAUGAAUCUAACAAUUAUGAGUAAUGUCUUUGUGACAAGAACUUUCUUUGUCUUUUAUUCCCAUGUUUGAACUAGUAUAGGUCAGGGUUACACAUUAUGGUGCACAUCACUUUAUUUGUCAUCGUUACAUUGAACACUCAUUGACUAAACAACGAUGAUCCAUCCGUCUUGUAUUACAGGUCUUCAUUUCAUUGGCCACCGAUGCUUGUAAGACUACUCCCAGAUGGUUGUUGUUGUGGAUAUGGUUGUUGAGGUUGGUGUGGUUGCUGGGGGAAUGGUUGUUGGGGUUGCUGGGAAAUUGUUUGUUCUAGUUGCUGGGAUAAUUGUUGUUGGGGCUGCAGAAAUGGUUGUUGUGGUUGUUGUGGUUGCAGGAUGGAGGGUUGCUGGGAAAAUGGUUGUUGCGGUCGUAGGGGGAAUGGUUGUUGUGGUUGUAGAGGGAAAGGUUGUUGUGGUUGUUGAGGGAAUGGUUGUUGUGGUUGUUGGGGGAAUGAUUGUUGUGGUUGCAGGGGGAAUGGUUGUUGUGGUUGCUGGGGGAANNNNNNNNNNNNNNNNNNNNNNNNNNNNNNNNNNNNNNNNNNNNNNNNNNNNNNNNNNNNNNNNNNNNNNNNNNNNNNNNNNNNNNNNNNNNNNNNNNNNNNNNNNNNNNNNNNNNNNNNNNNNNNNNNNNNNNNNNNNNNNNNNNNNNNNNNNNNNNNNNNNNNNNNNNNNNNNNNNNNNNNNNNNNNNNNNNNNNNNNNNNNNNNNNNNNNNNNNNNNNNNNNNNNNNNNNNNNNNNNNNNNNNNNNNNNNNNNNNNNNNNNNNNNNNNNNNNNNNNNNNNNNNNNNNNNNNNNNNNNNNNNNNNNNNNNNNNNNNNNNNNNNNNNNNNNNNNNNNNNNNNNNNNNNNNNNNNNNNNNNNNNNNNNNNNNNNNNNNNNNNNNNNNNNNNNNNNNNNNNNNNNNNNNNNNNNNNNNNNUGGUUGCAGAGGGAACGAUUGUUGGGUCUGGGGAAAUGGUUGUUGUGGUUGCCAGGAAAAUGGUUGUUGGGGCUGUGGAAAAGGUUGUUGUGGUUGUUGGGGUUGCUGGGGGAAUGGUUGUUGUGGUUGUAAGGGGGUCGGUUGUUGGGGUUGGGGAAAUAAUUGUUGUGAUUGCUGGGGAAAUUGUUGUUGGGGUGUGGAAAAUGGUUGUUGUGAUGGAUAUGGUUGCUGUGAUGGAUAUGGUUGUUGUGGAUAUGGCUGUUGUGGAAAUAGUUUUUGUUGAUGGGAAAAU